AUUAGCUGGAGCUCCCAGGCUGAGAAGGAGGAAGAGGAGGAGGAGCGGGAAGACCUGGACAGAGGAAGCAGUAAACAUGUAGAAUGGAAUUCCUUAGAUGCAUCUAUGAGUUAAGGAUUUUUGUUAGCUUUACUUAAGAUUCUCCUCUCCCACCUCCAAAAGAGAUCCCAACACAAACUCAUCAUUCAUAAUGGAGAAGCAUCCACUGCACACGCCUACUACUACCAGACUAGUUUUUUCAUCUCUGAAAAAAGGGAACAGAACACUAUGGUCUAGAGAGAUGUGUCACAAGCACUUCAUCCAAGAUGCAACAGCUCAUAGACUGCAAAGAAAGGCACAUACUUUGUGAAGCAACUGGCAAUUAAAUAUUUCAACUGGAUAGUCAAUUCAAGCAUUUUAACUUGAAAGACUGCCAAGAUAGAAGAAUCACUGGAACUCUCAAAUAGCGAUUUCACUAACUUUGUGAUUGAUUUAGGGUCCACGGCAUCCUUCUGUAUAUGCUAUUCUAAUUCGUAAUAUCAGUAACUGAACUUGUCAGAUGCAGCCAGAUUAUUCUCAUCAGUUAAAAAAUCCCAAAUCCAGAACAAAAAGGUCCGUUUAUUUUUUACUAAUGACUAGUCAUACCUUUUGCCUACUGCCACUUAGAAGUUUUUUCCAAAUGAUUUUGACACUUCGGUUAUGGGGAAAAUUUUCCUAAAAAACAGAUUUCUUCCUUUUACUUAUGUCUGAUAAGAGCAUACAUAUCUCAUACAUCAAAUAUAUGUCACACCCCUAUAGGUACAUCCACACACACAUGUAUCCAUACUAUAGACACAACCACACUGUUUUGCUCCCUUAGCAGAAACAAAUAGAUAUGGUAAGUUUUCUGUAUUAUCGUUUGAGUACGCUUUCUACAGAAUUCAGCAGAAGAACAAAGAUGGAUAUAUCCUUUUGCAUCUAUGUCUCUUCAGGUGAGCCCAGUUUGACAGGCCAUUUUCAGCAGAUAAAGCAUAAUAAACACAGAGAUCAGUCAAAACUUCCCUUCGGAUUUUAAGCCCCUUGGGGGGAAAGCGAGUUACUUAGUUGAGCUUGGGCUUCUGUUUUCACGUAAUCUUCUAAAGCAAGAGGCCAGUUUCCUGAAAAUAGAUCUGCAUGCAGAGACUGGCUACCAAAUUAACAUAGGGGAAAAAAAUCUCAUUGUUCGCUAGCAGGGAAACGAAAAAAAAAACCAGUUGGUAAAUUAAUAGGGGCUCAUUCAUUCUCCUUCCAGGACAUGCACAAGGAAACAGGAUGGCAGCAGCUGCUAUCUGCUGGCUCUGCUGAGUCUUUCCGUGACAUUCAACCGCGAGGAAAGAUUUUACUCAGUGAACAUUACCAUGUUUCCAUGCCUCCUUAUCCUCCAGCUCCAACAAUCAACCUGACUGUUCUGCAUUUUUUAGGCCAGGAUACUGUAGGGCUGAAUUUCUGUAACUCAGGGUAUUUCUAUUUUAAUCAUCAACAAUUUUUAGGUAUUGCAUCAUUUGAAAGGAAUGUUAUUUUUUAACAACUCUUUCUCACACAGAGAACACACUUAAAAUUGCAAAACUCUCCAUCCCCAGCAUUAAAAUCAUCACCUUUCAGGAACAUCCUUCCUAAUUGUCUCUCAGCCCACAAGCCAUGAGAAUGUUUCCAUUUCAAAAUCCAGUCUUCACUGUCGUACUUUAUAUGAUGCUUUUUGAGCAGGUUGCCCUUCUUUGGAUUUUUUUCUUCCAAAUCUGAUAGGAAAGUUGGAGCCUGAAAUGUGAAUCCAUAAACUACACCAGUAACUCUCGUGUGGCAAAAGCGGAACAGUGGAAAUACAUUGUUUUCAUUGAAGUGAAAUGCCAGUCUGUUCUUGCAUGAGCAAACUGGAUUAAGAUAACUUCCCUUGGGGCUUCAGGAUUUCACAAGGAGACUGUAUCUGACUACAAGACUUCUUUAAGAACGUAGUUUCAAAAUGUUACGGACAUCAGGCUCCAACAGUCCUGACUGGAGAAAGUAGACCAGAAUAGAGAUGCAACUGUUACUGCUGUGGAGCUGGAUCACCUAGCUGUAAGUCCUCUCUCGACUUACAUGCCUUUAGUGAAAGCUUUCCUGCAGGAAGCAGAUGAACAAGGAGCGCAAGACCCGGAGCCGCGCUUCUGAGUUGAAGUCCUGGCUAUGCUAUUUACUAGCUAUGUGAUCCUGGGCAAUCAUUUAAUUUUUCUGAGGUUGAUUAUCCUGAUCUAGAGAAUGGAGACAUAAAUUCCUAGACUGCAGUGGUUGUUAGGGUUAUACGUAAUUCAGUAUAUGGAAACAUUCUAUAAUUUUUAAAGCACUACACAAACAUUUAUUUUAUUAGAUGGAUCAGCACCCCGGAGCGCCUUUUCAGGGUGAAGUACAAAAUGAACUGAGAAGUGGACGGGAAGGUACUCUGAAAAAUAGGGACAGCUUCCAUUUUUGGAACACUCUGCGCCAGAUACUGCUGCAUGCUUUAAUAUGCAUUUUCUCAACGUUCAAAAUCACCUGACAAGGUUGGUGGUGUCAUCUCCAUUUCCCAGGUGAGGGAACAGAGAUUUAGAACGGGGACAUGACUUGCCCUUGGUCACAAAGCUUGUGGAGGGCAAGACCAGGGUGCAAAGCGGGAUUUGCCCGAAUCCAGGCCCAGGCUUUUAGCCGUGAGUCUCUGCUGGCUCAGCGCAUUAUAGAGACUGUAAUGGCUAUUCUCCACGUGGCCGGAUGGAACUUUGAAUGUAAACUGGCUCCGAUUUCAGGGUUUCACCAAUAAGCACAUGAGCAAACCAUUAAAACCAGCUUUGGUUCUGAUCAGCAGAAGCAGCACCCAACAACCCACCAAGAGGACGGCGACAACUUGGAAAUUAGUAGGAUUUGGCUAGCACUGAACGGUUGGAGACCUGGAUGCUCAGCCACACACGUGAUUUGCAGUGUGCCCUUAAGCAAGCCACAUCUCUAAAGCCUGGCUUCCCGCUAAUCUAAAGGAGGCUCACGUCAAAAGAGCAUAGUGACUAGCCCAACACUCAUUCACAUGAUUAUGACAGUGCUAAAAUAAUGUCUCUAAAAUACAGCCCAGCAGUUUAUCCUCCUAAGUUCCCCGUUUCUAAGAGGCAGUAUGGCGACAUGGUCACAUGUAGACUUCUGGAGGCAGAAUGUCAAGCUCUGCAAUUCGCUCCCUGCACAACCCUGGGUAACUUACGUUAACUCUCAGUGUCUCAGUCUCCUCAGCUGUUUAAAAUAAGGAUGAUGAUAGUACCCACCACACCUAAGGUUGCUGUGACAAUUAAAUAAAUCAGGUACAGCAAUUCGAACUAGCAAUGGCACAAUGUAAAUACUCAAUAAAUGAUAGCCACGAUGACAGAAAUAAUAAAUCAUUUUUCCCUUAGCACAUUAUAAGCAGAGAGGUGGCUAAGAGAUCUGCCACAGCUUGUAAAUGGAAAAAGCUCACAGAUCCUGCUUCCGUCCAUUUCAUCGUACAUGGAUACAUGUCAGCCCAGCUGACUGCAGAGGAAUCCGACAAAUACUAAAAUCGGAAGACGCCCUCAGAUCUACAAAUGGCAUCUCCAACUGAAUUAACUGAAAUGAGUAUCUUUAAUAUUUUUUACCUUCUUCUCCUCUUCCCAUUCUAAGACCUGAAUACGGGAUCUGUACCCUUCCUUUUAAGCAGGAGUUCACGUUAUAGACUUUUCCCAAUGCUAAGUUAGGAGUUGAGGGUUUAAGAGAAAAGGAAUAGAGAUCGAACCCUGAUGACCAUUUAAAAAAAUUUAUGGGGAAUCAUCCAGGAACAAAAUAAAACGAAACUCGCUUGAGGUUGAUUUUACGAGCACAAGCCUCUACUUACACAGGAGUGUGAGAGCAAUCUGUUGACAGAUAUUUUCCAGGCACAGAAAUCCUCAGGAGGCAACUGCUCAGAAGAUCAGCACCUGGAAUUUAAACGACAGUAUGAGCCCUUAGGAAAUCUCCCAGAGCAACAGAGGAAGUAAAAGUCAGUUGUUUUCUCUUGUUCCUCCGCCAAUGUCAUAAAGAGAUGAAUUUUUAAAAACAAGAAAUAAGGAGCACCUUCUCCUUCCUGCUGCAUAGGUUGGGAAAGUUCCUGCACAGUGAGCGGUGGACACGCUCCUCACUGGUGCGUCCACCGACACGAGGCUGUGCGUUUCGCAGAUCAUCAAGGUUUGCUCAGCAAGAGGUCUUAUGAAAUAAAACAUGGUAUAGACCUAUAGCUCCAGUCACGGAAGAAAGACAUGAAAGCAGCCCGCACAGAAGACAGGGAGAGGUUUCUAUUUUCAAAAUUGGUUUCGCAACCUCAGGCUGCAGCAGCACAGACUGCAGAGGCCAGCAGAGGGCAGCAACUGUCUGAAAGUGCAACCUUCUCUCACUGCUCUGCGGUCAAGCGGAGGAAAUACAGAACAGAAACCCCAUGAUGUUCUCUCCUGCGUGGUCUAAGUUUAAAGCUGGAGUGCACCUUUUGCCACAUUAUAGGAAAGGAGGCCCGUGUUGUAGAGGUCUUCGUUUUUGAAAACUCAUCGUUCAAGGAGUACUUCAGUCUUCCGUGCACGUGACCUGCCACAGCCACUGGGAGUGCCUUCAUAACAGCCCCAAGGAGGCUUCCUUAGAAGGGGCUCAAGUCCCAAAAGCUCACAUUUCACCCAGCAAGGGGCGGCGUGACUCAGCAGUGUGAGGAAGAAAAGUCUGUCCUGUCAGAUUACUAUCUAUUGCAAUUUCCAAGUGAACAAUUACAACCCCAUGGAGGAACAGAAACACGGCCGAGGCCAGUGGAUGGGGUGAUAUGGUCUAGACACGUGCAUCAGACAGACUGGGGAAGACAACGCACUGUGGUUCACAGGUGUGAUCUUUAAGCUGAGCGUUGGAGGACAUGUUCUUUAGCGACUAUGCUCACACACUUCAAGACGCUAUCAAAACACGGACGUAAUAUGUUCGGAAGAUUCUUGAAAGUUGGGAUUAAAAUUCAAGAAGAUCUUGACCAGGAAGAGAAAUGGCUGAGAAAAGCCAUUGUUAUAUUCAACACUGUCUUAUGACAGAAAGAUAAAUCUAAAAUAUUCAAGCUGAGAGGAAAAGGAAGGAGGAUCUAUCAGGGUAAACAUAAAAUUGAAACUGACAUGGAGCUAUUAAAUCACACGGCUUUGGAAUAUUUAAAUACUAAUUUAAAAUAAUAGCAUGUUUCCGAAAUUGUCUGAUCAUAAAAAUGACGACAGGACCCAGAGUCAGUGAGGAGCUCUUCCCCUUGUCAACGGUGACUGAGAUGGGUGUCAGCUGCAAGGAACGCCCGUCGGCUGUGUUCCGGGAGUUCUGCAGUAUUUGCAAGAGUUCAUUUAAGCUGCUGCAAAGUCUUCCUACAAUUAACUUUUUCCUGUAAAAGCGUAUGAUAAAGCCUAAUUCUGUAGCGUGCCUCUUCCAUCCUCUCUGUCACUCCUCUAAAGAACUCAGGAGCACCUUGUGACCACUGCACCUGCAGCCUCCUAAGAUCUAGGUGCAUGUGCAUUCUUGGUAGAUGGGGAAACCAGAGCACAGAAAGGUUCGGUCAAGAACACCGUAUAUGAGUUAGUGAUAAGGUUUCUUAACUAUGAGGAUAUGAGUUUGACAGCUGCAUUUUCAGCUUCCCACUAACAUCCGUGCCUCCCCUUAUGAGCACUGGCAUCUGUGCCUCCCACGGUAGCUCUUGGUGGCUCUAAUCUAAACACAGGGCUGAGGCUUGUACCAAACCCAUCACCAGAGGGGAGAGCGUGGAGCAGCCCAGCCCACGAGGAUGCUUCCCUAACGGGAUUCCUGUGUUUUCUCAGGAGGAGUCAAGGGUCAACUUACACCUUCAACAGGGCAGCCCUGUGUCACAGAGGGCCCCCCAAAGGAUCUUCCUAGGUGCUCAACCGUCAUCCUCUUGAAGCUUGAGGCUCUUAGAAGCUGAUCUCUGAAUCUCUGCUUAGAACCAAAAGUACCAAUACACAUCUUGUCCUUGUCUGUGCCUUUCCACAUGAGCACCAGCUUAUCUGAGUUAACGUGCUUAGACACUGCCUAUUCAACGUUGAGCGCCAUUAAGGGAACUCCCAUUUAAUGGCACAUUUAAGCGGGGAACAGAGAGACAAGCAGCAUAAGCUUUGGGAUCAGAAAGACCUGGUUUCAAAUUUUCCCUCUGUCACUUGUUAGCCUGGGACAAGCUAUUUAACCCUUUUUGAGCUUUAUUUUUUUCAACUGUAAAGUGGAAAUGAUAAUGUUAAUUCUCAGACUUGUGAAAAUAUAACUAACUCAAGUAAAAUCCAUGGUCCAGAGAUUUUUCAAUAAAUAUUAACCUCCCCCCUGAAAAAGAACCAUCACCACAUUCCCCUGUGAGGGGACAGCACAUUUAACAUUUUGGAUAAAUUUUCCAGAAGGUAUAUACAAUCAAUAUGUUAAAAUUGGUGUGAAAGACUAAAAUACCAUCGAGCAUCAGUACACAGAGACUGGGUCUGAGGCUCUCUGACGGAAAAAGGGUAGGUCAUGGGACGUCAAAACAAGGAGUCGCGAGUCUGUGAAAGGACAGAUACGAUCCGCAACAGGGAUGAGGAUGUUCCAGCAUUUCCAUCUAUCUGGUCUCAGAACCACUGAUUCACUGAGUUUACCAUGUCCCAGGUGCCGUAUGAGGCUCAGAGGACAUGAGGCAGAUGAGGCUCCUAGAAGAGUCCAGUGUAGGCACAUGGGGGGGUGCACAUAGGGACGGUCACGUCUGUCAGGGAGGGAUUAACCAACAACAAUGCUGCAGAACCACAAGUCACUUCUCAACACGACGGGUAAAGACAGAUCUGUUAGAAUCCAUCGCUAGGCGUUCACUGAUUGCCUCCUAAGAGCCCCGCGCUGAACUGGAAAAGUGCCUAAACAGAUGACAUGGAUACACUUGCACGUGACCUUGGAACCUAAUGUGGAAUGAAGUUGAGUAUAUAGGGACGAGUAAGGCUUAAGUGUGCCAUGCUGACAGAGAGGGACAACAGUCAUUCAGGAUUCGAUGAGCUUGGGGCAGGCUGACUAGGGGGCGGGGGGGGGGGGUGUCUGCAGAGGAAAGGGGCCUGAGCCGGGCUCCACAGGGGUGGUCUGGGCAGGUGGAAAAAGGGGAGGGUGUCAGGGAGGGGAGGUAACAUCAUGUGAACUGUAGCAGGAGGUGAAGCUCAAUGGGAAUGGGGAAAGCCACCGCAUUCGGCAAACAAGACCUUUGGGAAGUGAGACUGCGAUGGCUGUGCGAUAACACAGGAUGCAGAAGGUAAGAGCGAGCGAGUGAGCUCAUGAAGGCAUUUCUUCCUGCACACGUGCACACACACACACACACACAAUGGGAAGGUUAACUGAGAUCAGGGAUGGCAGGAGACGACAAAAAACAAAAUUUAUGAAGCGCAGAAGAAACAGAUGUUGAAUAUCUAGCAUGUGGGAAGCACUGUGCUGGAGACGCAACGUGGACCCACACGGGCACCAGUCCUCAUGGAGUCUGCAAGCCGGCAGGGGGUGCAGACAAAUAAAUGGCAGUUAUUACGACAAUGGGAUAGGUAUUAGGAUGGGGAAACUUCAGGGGCCAUGGUCCCAUAGGUGAGGCACCAAGCUUUGGGCUCAGGAUAAGCUUUCCCAAGGGCCUCCUAGUCUCCAUCUCCAGAGGUAUGGGCAGGAAGAAAUGGGGGUGGUCAGCUCCUUCUGGGUUUCCCAGACAGGCUGGGAGCCCCUUCUCAGGACGCCUGAAUAUUCGAAUAGGGUAUACAUGUACCCAUGUGUCUGGAAUGCAGUUCUGGCUGGAGACGGAGAGAACAGAUGAAAUGAUGCCCAUAAAAUGCCCUCCAGCUCAGCACGAGUCCUAUUCGCAGACCCCAACUCCUUUAGAGGACCAAAGGGGAUGACCAUGUCCCGGGACACUGAAUUGCACUCACACUGGAGGUGAAACACAGGCGUGACUUUCACACACGCAGCUAAGACAUUCUCAUAUGACUGCCAGCGCUCAGGGAAGUUAGCAUGACUGACAGCGGACAGCAGGGGAGGCGGGGGUUCUCAAACCCGCUCCCCCAGUCCCCUCACCUCACACAGGAAGGCUAUCAAGAUGGCACCCACUCCAAGAAAGGGGCAGUGAGGGCGGGCGAGGGGCUUUCUGCUCCAACACGAAUAGAAAAACCCUAAGAAGGAAACAGCAUGUGCUGCUUUCUAUUCCAUUUUUCCAGCUGACUGUGUCAUUUUCUGUUAGGAAAAUUUUACCCACGGCUUAAAUCUGAAACAUUUGCUAGAUUAUAAUUUUUCAAGUACACACAAAUAUAACGACACAAGAAUUUAAAAUAAUCCAAGGGAGAUUCAAAUCCACACCCCCGCUCUCCUCCCCCCAACACUUCCCUGGUUCGCUCAGGCAGAGCCAACGCUGCGCUGGCUUCCGUGUAGCAGGUGAGGACGGCUCCACUUGCCUGGAAGAUGACCCCAGGAAAGGCCAUCAGGGCCACGUGGCACCUGGAGACAGCCAAAAGCUUCUCCUUCCUGCUCUUCUUAAAAUAAACUGUCUACCUUAAAAAUGAAGACAGCAUGGGUGAUGGGGGGAAAAAAAGACACUGUUACUUAUCUCCAAUAUCACGCUGGAAGCUAAACACAAGAUAAUUUUUCCUCGGCAUUGUUUCCACGGGCUGGGAAGAGGGAAAAAAAUAGCACUUGUUGUUACUAGGACUAAGGAACCGUUCUUCCUAUGAAAAGAUCCUGUUGGAGAUGCUUAACUUGAUACUCAUGACAUAUUUAGUUUACAUUCUUUCGGGGGAACACGUUUGUAAUAAUUGUGUAAUUAAUAUAAGGACGCGAUAAGUGACAGUUGCUUAAGUGCCACCCGGAAGGAAGAGGGCACAAUUUGCUACGGGGGGGGGGGAGGGCUUGGGGGGCGGGUCUCGGCAGGAAUCUGGUGCAAAUCCCCUUUCUUCGAAUGGCUUUUCCUCCUGGGAUAAAUCGCUUCAUCUCUUAAUUCAGGUUGUCGUCCUUAAACAAAUGAAGGCCACACGGUCGUCCCCGGGGUUUGGGAGCCGCUGGGAGAGGGCCAGCGCAGUGGGUGCAGCGACCUGUGGUGCGUGUCCUUUCCUGGAGAUGCUGUCUCUGGCGCUGGUGGACGUGCAGUUCAGCGCCGAGUCCAGAGGAGGACCGGGUUCUGACCGCGUCGGGUGCGCCCAGCAGGGGUCAGUGGUUCACGCCCUGGCUUACGGGGAAAUGAGUCCUUUCCUGUGGGCUCCGUGAUGCCCUCAGGUCCUCAGCCAGGCAGGAAGAGGCUGAGCCAGCAGCUCCUGCUGAGCCCUCCUCCACGAGGACCAGCUUCUCUACCCUGUUCUUUCUGCCACUUCUCCCGGUGACUCUAUUACCAAGAGGCACUUUCAAGCUUCUAGAGCAUCUUCUCAGUAUUACAUUUACUCAGUGCCCAAAAGAGUACAACAUGUUCUUAGAACAUUGCUCAAUUCUGUCUCCUGUGGGAAGAAUUCAAAGUUUGUUUUAUUAAGAACUAGCGUGGCACAGUUAAUUUUCAUCCAAAAAAAAGAAAAAGAAGAGUGAGCGAGCGAAGGGUAUAUCAAGUCUCUUACUUUGGCGUAUGGAUAGAAAUGUUAUUAUGCUUCCUUCUGCCUGGGAGCUAAUAAAUUCAAAAUACUGACAAAGAAGAUUUUGAAAAAGCUGCCCGUGACAAAUAAACAACCGAUUUGUUUCAUUUUGUAAAAAUGAAGUUCUCCUUUCCGACCUAAGCAAUUUUCUGAACAUUCCUCAAAGGGCAUUGGCCUCUCCCAGCUGGGAGGCCAAGGACAGGCGGGAGCCUCCUCCCGAGGCUGGGACCAGGGCCCGUGUGGUUGGAGGAAGGCGGCCCGGCCCAGACUGGCCUCGCCCUCCCGUUGGGUGACCUCUGGCGGACCAAACCCCCUGGUCCAGCUCUUCAUCUCUGAAACAAGCACGCUGUAUUGACAGUUUUCCUGUUGCUCUAAAAUAAGACGAUUCUAAAAUUCGACAUUAAGUGUAAGGUCAGUUUCUGCUUUGGACCUCACCUAAGGGGUUUUAGUCAUAAGCCCAUGUGUGGAAAGUGGCCCUGCCAAAAGAGAAACAUUCUGAAUCAUUCAAAACCAUUAAGAAUGUUGGCUCUGACUUCAGAAGGGCAGGAUAAACAAACCCGUGCCCGGGCGGGAUCUCACUUACUGGAUGUCUCUGCCUUUUUAACUCAUCAGCGCCUGAGCCUCCCCAAGCAUCUUCCCAUGGCUCCCAUCGUUAACGCCGUCACAGUGGCACUAUUAACGCAGUUUUCUUAAAGGCUGGGCAUAUUUAAUUUGGUGCCGAGUCCUCAUUAAUCUUCUUGUAUGGUCACCAGGAUUGGCUUUUUUGCAACUUCUAUUCAAAGCAGGUUCGUUCUCCCACCCAACACAGGUCAAGAAAUAAGGAACAAAGCUUCCCUCUUUUUAAAAAAACCCUCUUUCCCCAAACCCCAUUCCCAAAUCCAGUGAGUCUACAGAUUCUUUUGACUGGAAUGGAUCCUAGAAUCAACUGACCUCUAACUUCCCAGUGUGUUUCGAUUCCGCCUUUGCUGAUCUGAAAUCACAGAGGCUGUAGGAAUUAGGAUAUGGGUGCUGCUUUCUAGCAGAAUCUGCCUCAACUCCUCUGCCUUAGAAAAAUUAGGAAGCCUUUUGACCGUCUAUAUUUUUGUGUGGCUCAUUUUUUUACGCAUAUGCAAAGUAAACAGGAAAAUAAAGGAGAAAACUCAACUUCCGGGUCACAGCAUAUCUGCCAGCUAAGCAGUGGAGUUCCAUGGACUGGCUCAACGCGUCUCAUCUGGGCCCCACGGUGGUCAGAGAGCACGUGCACGUACCCAGAGCUCAGGAAAAUCUGCUCAAGAGAACAGGCUUCCAUCUGUAGGGACCCUUCAGCUGUACAGAGCUUACUGGGCACAGGAUGUAUAAAGCAAAAAAGAUUAAAUUUCUUUUUAAGUCAAAAAACUCCAUACUCAAAAAGCAACAGACAUGACCCCUUUUUUCCAACUUCGAAAGCUCACAGUGGCGACAGCAGAGUUAACCACGUACAGCAUUGCAUUCAGGCGACUGAGUGAGUAAUUGUCACCAGACUUUUUUUACAGCCUUAUAGGAACUGAGCAAGCUGGUAGUAUUUCCUAAGAGCUAUUGUUCAGUUGUGAAAAUGGAGAGAGCUUUUUGUUUUGUCUUUUGGAAAAUCCUGAUCAGCUGAAAUGAUGACUAGGUGGUCAGACUUGCACUUCUUUUGCUAUGUGAUAAAGGCUUAUUUUGCCAGGCAAAGGAGCGAUAUUAUGGUUAACUUGUUUUUUCGGACUGAGGUCAUCUCUAUUCAUUGGUGUAGUAAACAAGCCAGACCUUUUUUUCUAAAACCCUCUUUCAGAAGCAACACUACAUUUUUAUCUUCUCUGGGAAUGAAAUAAAAGCAUCAUAAUUUUUAAAAACAACCUCCCUCAGAGUAUUUAUGAAUAAUAAAACACUUAAAAAAAAAACCCUAAACCUCAUUUGCACAUUUCCUAGAACAUUGACAGCUUAGAUAUCUCUCCACAUCAUUUUAUUUCUUAGGCUCUCUGAAUUCAUAAGGUCAUACAGAAUCGUAAACCAUCAUUUUAAAAUCUUCUUCGUCCCAUUUUUUAAAGAUAAGUGUAAAGGGAUGAUUUUCAUGUGUUUAGAUAAAACAAUCAUGGCCAUAACUAUAAUUGUGAGGAAAAACUCUGUGCUUGCCAAAGACACCAGCUAGAGACUGCCAUUAGGAUAACUUCCUUUAGGUUCUUCAAUUAGCUUUAUUUCACUUUCUCAUCAGCUCGAUGCAUAAAAGAAUCCAUUUUCCUUUGCUCUGGCUGUUGCACUGAGAGGCCUCACAGAGCCGGGGUGAGGUGGAGAGUUCCCCAGUUUGCCUGAGCCGGCCUCACCAGGGCACAGUUCCCAGGGCGGUGACUCAGCUCUGAGGCCACCUGCUGCGUGGGUGCUGCCACCUUCCGGGUCAUUACCAGUCACGAGGGGAGAGGGAUGGGACAGAGCUGAAUGGGCCCAAAGGACCAACAGCUCAGAGCCAGGUCAAGGGCAGCGCCAGAAGGAAAGCCUUUAUUUACAAAAGAUCCAGCCCUUAAAGGUGAGGCAUUUGAUAGGAGGGGGCUUCACAUCUGGGGUCACCAGAGGAGCCUCAAAGCCGGGAUGGAAGAUGAAGGCAGGGCCACAAGGCAGCUCCCACUUUCAACACCACUUUGAGCAAGUCACUAGCUUUCAAAAAUAAUGACACUCACCGCCUGCAAGAACCCACGUGCCUUUGAGGCCUUCCCACCACUUAAAUCCAACCCACCCUCAGGGCCUUCUCUCUACCUCCUUUCAAUAAACCCUCUGCUCCAACUAGCAGGCCGCCUCCACCCCGGCUCCAGGGCUCCCUGCCUCCGGGCCGUGUGGACAGAGCGGUGGAGUUGCCAGCAGUCGCACACACUGAGCUCCUCCACCUCGGGUAUUUUUGUUCUUUGCCCGUUUUCAACGUGCGAAACCUUGAAUGUUCAGCUUAGUAUUUCCCACCUGCUCCGCGGAGCCUCCCUGGACUGCUCCGGCACGUCACCCUCCUCUGCACUCACAGCAUCUACGUCUCAACAAAUCAAUGGAUGUGUACUGAGUCCCUGUAAUACGUUCAGUUCUUUCAAUCAACGACACUUAAGGGACAGGUACUCCAUGUCACAUACUGUGUCAGGUGCUGGCAGUGAAGAGCAGAAAGACACGGUCCCUGUGGCAGAGGCGCACGUCCCCCAGAGGCGGCGGCACCUGUGAGGAGUGAGGAGGGAGUGGCGGCUCUGAAAUGUCAGACACGGCUUUCUGGAGGACUCUAGGCUGAAUUCUAAAGGAAGAGCAGAGUUUGAAAGGAAGACUAGGUUAGACAAAGAAGGGAGAUGGGCAGGAAAGAAUGUUUCUGGGGACAUUGUACCAAAUAAAAAACACGGGGCCUUCUCUUCAGCAUCUCUGCAGCUUGGGGUUCGAGGGUAGGGGCAUAGGAGGCUGGGGAGGUGGACCAGGGCUUUGCAAGACUGGUGAGUACCUACGACUUGUGAAGUGUAACAAGAGUUCUGUGCAUGAGAGAGAGGCAGACUGCAAGGCAGCCUGCAAGGGGACUUUCACAGGCCUUAUAGGGUUUUAUAGGGUAGAGGUUCUUUCACACACGUUAUCUUGUUUAACCAACACCACAGUCCUGAGCCAUUUAUUUGGAAUCAAUCACAUGCCGCCUUGUGACACGUUCGUUUCUGCCAUUCACGCCGCGUGCAUUUUCUCGUCUGCUCCUCAGCUGACUGUCAGCUCCCGGCCGGCACAGGCCGCCACCUGCCUCUCUGAUGGUUCAGUGACCAGCACAGCGCCUUAUACCCACAGAUGUUCAGUAACACACGUCUUAGCUGAAAUGUUAGGAUGCGCUUUUCCACACUGCCUGUCAAAUAAGUAAUGAAAUCCACCAGCAAAUACUUUUGGAGUCCUAGAACACGGAUGGUACUCACGGCACCUGUAAGUGGUGUGAAAUAGAGGCGGGUUGGGGUCAAGCUGUGGAAGUCCUGGACGGCCAGGCUAAAGAAGGUGGGGGGCCCUUCUACUGAAGAGUUUUGAGUAAGGAAGUGAUCGACACAUGCUUGAAAAAGAUUAAUUCGGCAGUAGGAUGGGCUGACUGGAGACAGGGAACAGCACAAAGGCGAGGGGAGUAAGUGUUGUUAUUGGGGUGAUAGAGUUGCCCAGUGUCUGUACUGACAUGCAGCAUCUUUACUCAAGGGCCCUGGAGCUUAACCGGGCUCUUGCCUGAGCUCCAUCACCCCUAGGAGGAACACUUGGUGAUGUGGGUCUUUGCUGCUUUUAUUCUCCGUCCCUUUAUUCCUCUGAAAAAUUAGUGAGCAACAGUUCUAUGCCAGACGCUGUGAUGCAGAGAUACAGGCCUCCACUCUCCAGUAGCUUCUGUCUUGUCGGAGAGGAUGGAAAAUGUCUGGUUAUAAUGCGGCGUGUCAAGUUCCCUCCUAUUUCCUCCCUCCUUCCCUCCCCUGUUAUACUGCAUUAUCUAAUAUAAUGCAGAGGGUUUCCCGGAGGAGGCCAUACCUGAGAUGAAUCUUAGGGAGGAGCAGGUGUUGGCAGGUAGACAGACGAGGGAGAGAGAAGGGCAUGUGCAGAGAUGCCAUCCCAGGCAGAGGAGCUGAGCUUGGAGUCUUCUGAGAGAUGGGCUGGAACAGGGAAAAGGAGGACACAUUGAAGGGCUGUAAGUCAGGGAAAGACGAUCAGAUCCACGUUUUAGAAAGAUCAGCCUGGAGGCUCAGAAGAAAAGCUUACUGGAACGUAGUGACUCUGGAGUCGAAAUGGAGCAAAGAGCAGAUUAGACGGAUGCCAGAGCAGAGUGGUUAAGCCCUUAAGCCCUGGAGAUGGAAUGAUACGUGCAGUGAGAGUGGGACUGAGAAAACUCAUGGUAGAAGAUCUUUAAAAUCAACAUAUUUCACAAAGAGGAUCCAGCAACAGGUCACACAUGCACUGUCAGGUGCUGGCCGCAAGGGGGCAGCCUCAGACAGCCGUUCUAGCGGCCAGCCCCUGGUGGGGAGGGGAGAGCAUUGCCAGGUUUGUUUGCAGAAAACUAGGAAGGCUUCGUUUUGACCACCAGAAGUGGCUGGCCUUUCCUAGCUUUUUGGACUAACAAUUUUGAGUGAUAAAGAACAGUGGCCAUUCUCACAGUCUGGUUCACUGCGAAGUUGAUUUCAGACUUCAUUAUCUAUUCCGGGUGGUUCUCUCUCUACCCAGGGAUCUGACAGAGUUUCAGGUCUGUGACUUGCUAGAUAAUCAGCAGAACUUCCCCGGCCCUCACCCUGGCUUUCUGUUCCUGGAGUGCUCACCUGCUGGCCCCCGUCAGCUUUGCAGAUGCCCCUCAUGAGUCCCCAGGUCUCUAGCAGGGAGGUGCCACUCUGAUGCCCAGAGGCGGCCUUUAAAGAUGUUAUUCUCAGUGGAAGACUGGAUGGAACCACCCAAACCUAAGAGGACAAGGUUCUCCACCACGUGGGGCCAAACCACGAAGUAAAUUCUGAAAAGGAGCCACGAGCUCUCUGAGCUGGCCCCAAAACAUAUCUUUCUCCCACUGAAAACCUCUGCAGAAGCCCUGACGUGUCAGCUGUUUCGGGGGAGCAGCAUGAAAACCAGAGCGCCUAGCUUCACCAGGCUAUUUUAGGGGUAGCCAGCUGAGCCCUCAGAGAAGUGCACCGAGGGUUUGAAACGACGUAGGCUGAGAAUGGAAAGUUUCAGUGAGAGAGUUUCCAUCAAGGAGAACCAGCUAGUAAAGAGCUCAGCCCCGACGACUGAGUCUGACGAUGACCCUCCAAAGUGGAGGAAAACUGGUGAAUGCUGCCGGGCACUGCGGCAAGCCUGUGGGGGCACUGUCUCCGGGUCAGCUACAUUGCCUACCGGAGGCCCCUUGUCUCCACUGCACGGGUCAUCUGGGGGAGAUGCUGGAGCACGGGUUCCAGGUGGGGCCAAGGGUGGUGGCUUUUUCUGGUGAGGUAAGGACCACUGUGUAAGCAUCAGGAGAAGGAGGUGGCAACCUGACCCCACUCUGGUCGGAAGGGCCUUGAGAGCCCACCCUGCCGUGGUGGCUUCCUCGAUCCGUCUAUUCCCUCUGACUGGCUCUCUCGUGAACACGUCGGCCAUUUACCAUUUGCCACUUGGAGGCAAAGCAGCCUGGAGAGGGGGAGAAAGAGCCCAGCCUCUCACCUGGAAGGUAGUGCCUGUGAUUCAUUGUAGGAAAGGCAAACCAUCUUGCAGGCACUUCACACACAUUAACCCAUUCAGGCCUCACAUCAGCCCUCUGAGCUGGGUACUUCACCAUUCUCAUUUUACGGAUGAGGAAACUGAGGCAUGGGGACAUGGGAUGGAUGUGGCGGGGAGGGGGCGUUGGAGGAAAGAGACAAGAACCCAGCCGGCUUCCUGAUCCCACCCCAAUGCUUCUUCCCAACACCGACUGCUUUCUCCUGUGCUCUUCUUGGCACCGCCUGCUCAGAUGGCCAGGAGGAGAGGUCGGCCCUCGGUUGAAGCAAUGACCAGCCAAGCAGAAGUUCAGCACAGAGGGGUAAACACCCUUGUAUGGAAACUGACUGACAUAUUUCUUAUCAUAUACAAAAGCCCUAUAGUCUGCACAAGUGGUUCUAACAGCCAGUCUGUCCCUGACAGGAUCCCUUCCUUUCAUCACGUCUCUGAAUUUGCACUCCAUUGACAACCUCACUGAAGUUUUCGGUUGAUUUAACAUUGCUAGUGGUUUAAAUUGGAGCUCCCAAAAUUAUAAGAACCUAACUGUAGGGUCACGUGGUCCUCGAGGUCCGAACUUCAACGCACGCUUGAAUCCCCUCAACAUAGGAGAAGAGAAAAAGAGUCUAUGUCCUCAAGCCCCAACUGCCCAGGAAAACUGCACCAAGGGAGGGCCUGGUCCCUGGACCACGGUGGGACACACGAGCCCCCUUGAGCCCCCUCGGAGGCCCUCCACAGUGACGUCAAAUAUUUGGGCUGAACUGUGUGGGUUUCAAAGCUACACCAUCAAAUCUGGUGGGUAACUCACCAGUCGUGACAAAUGUUCUAAAGUGCCACAUAGAAGCCAAUGUUCUACACACCGAGUCAGGGCAAAGGCUCUGACUCCUGACCCUCCUUGCUGGAAUUGCUGGGUGGGGGAGAAACCAAUGCUUCCAAGCAGCUCUGACAGGCUAAAAAUAUCUCUCACUUCUCCUUUUAUCUGUCUGGUCACUGUCCCAGACGCAAGCUCAGCACGGCCUGGUCCACAGACCUGUGAAAUCGCUGUCUACCUCCACGUUGUAACUGGAUGAAGAGACAACAUUCUCAUUUUCUUCUCCCUCGCAGACCUGAGUACAAGGUUACAGACUGGGAUAGAACAACAUUCUAUUCAAAAACAACUGUUGAAGGUAACUGUUUCAGACUAACAUCUCAGGAAAACUUUAAGAGGAGAGUCCUCUAAAAAAAAAUUGCUCGCUUUAACUACAGACUGGUGAUAACUCACCCCGGAGAUCCAGCUAAACGUUGGCGCAGAAAUUUCUAAUGAUCCUCAAGCAAAUAAGAGCUUCUAAAGGGAAACUUCUGCAUAAUAUGCCGAGUGGACAAGCUGCCCUGACCUCCUCCUGCAGCUUCAAAGAUAUGCUCCUCUAUUGCAUAACACACGGCCUGGAAAAAUUCCGCCUUUCCGGCCAGCAGCUUCUCCGCGUCCACCUGUCCAUACAGGUAGUAAGAGAUUAGAAGGAUCAGAGCCGCAGUGUUUACACAACACUUUUUAGCACGCUCUUCCUUCUAGCCCCCACCCAACCCAAGUUCAAAGUUCAUUUCUUCUAAAAUGAAGGGAGAGGUAGUUAAAAGAGCACACAGACAGGCAGACCUGCUUGCCACCAGGCCGCCUGAAUGUCGCAGGCAGAACAGAGACCUGGGCAUGCGGGCACUGCAGCAGGAGAGGGGGCUCGGGGCUCGGACGACAGCACUGGCCUGAGGCCACCUUGCCAUUCGCUCAGCAUUCCCAAACCUGAGGUUCCACAUGAGAAAGAGAGCCCGAUGACAGCCCCCGGGGACACAGUUCCAUUUAAUCCAGUGGACAAACUUCCCCAGAACUUCCGGCAGCCAGUGACGUGGGUUUCACUUUCCAGAAUUAACCAGGCUUUCCGUUUUGAAUGCUACCACCUUGCUGCAUUCACCUCCAGCUCUUCAGCUCGCAAGCCUUGCCUGUGAGACCCACAGCAGGACAAGCCAGAUCAUCUGCUGUAAAACCAGUUCCAUUUAAAGUCAUCGUAGAGUCCCUGGGGCAGAUUUUCAUGCUUUUCGGCACCUGAGAUGACUUCUGGUUUCAAGUCCACUAAAAUCUGCUUUCAUUGUAUAUCCUUGUUUAUUUCCCUCAACAAGUGACGAUAACAGGAAGAGGGAAGAGGCAGGCAGCCUCUGAGGGAUGAGUCACCUAAGAGCCUGGCGUGCCCUGGGCUGAGAUACCUCAUGGGUUAUCAGGAACUUCCGUGAGACUCCGGAAACGGAAGCCAUCCAGAGCAGAGACAGACCACACUGAAGGGGCCACACCCCUCCCACCCUCACCCCGGGCCACCCCUGCCUUCUUCUGGACCCUCAAAGGCCAACCUCAUUCCCCCUGCAGAGCCUUUACACGAGCUAUUCUCUCCAUGUGGAACCCUCACCCCAGCUCCUCCGCCGACACCUUUCCUCUCAAGCUUAGACAUCACCUCUCAGAGAACCACUGAAAGGAGGCCCUGUUCCUCUUUGAGCACUUUCCCCUCAUGCAUGUAACCUGAGUUUUACUGGACUGCUUUUCUGUGCAUUUACUCAGGUUCCAUGAUGACAGAGAUCAUGCCUGUUUUUUCCAUCACUACCAUCAUCAUCAUCUCAGUGCUAAUCAGUGCUUAGCACACAGUAGGUGCUCAAGAAAUUUUUGUUGAACGAAUCAAGGAACAACGAUAUUAGCCAACCCUGACCUCCCUGAGCCGCUCUGACCUCCAAAUGUCCUGUAGAAGGUACCUCUCACCGCAUCUCCAUCUCUUUCUGACCUUGCCCCCCACCUAAUAGAACGAUAAUAAAGGCUAGUUUAUCUUCUUACUGCAAAUAACCAGGGAUAAAAGGAGACGUUUGUAACUCCAAGCCAUCGCUGAGCGGAUUUAUGAACUUGGUCUAAUGUUCUACUGUGGUGGCAAAAUUAAUUUCUCUACAACACUGCCAGGAGUACCUAAAGCAGAGCAGGGCUGAGUAUUAAAUUCUGUAAUUUUUAAAGUUUAGGAAAUGCUACCCCAAAUCUCUCUCCCCCUCCUCUGAUUAUGCUGGAUUCCCUGGGCUACCUGUUCGUGGAAACAGCCCAGGCUCUGCACUCCAGGUGGGUCAUUCAUUCUAGCUCUGUGUGUCCAAAGACGCUGCCAGUCCCCUUGCCUCCAGCCUGCUCCCCUGCAGGUCUGUGGACCACACCCCCAUCUGUUAUUAAGAUCUGCUCAGCUAUGUAACUGCACAGCCCAUCCCAGCCAGCCACCUCUCUCCAACCUCUUCCUUGCCAGCCAGACCAGCCCUCCGCACACGUCCUCUGCUCACUUUCUCAGUGCCUGCACACACACACCUCCCGCUCGGCUCAUUUCUCACUCCCUCACAUACUAUGAUCCUACUUAUUCGAUUUGCUCAAGGACUUUACCUGAACCCCCCAGUUCUCCACUGUUCCAAAAGCUCUACCCCCAGGAAAAGAAGGACGGCAGGCAGCCUGCUCUGAAUACAGAAGAUUCACUGUCAGCACCUUGAAACUUGGAUAGGAUUCAUCACACGUCAGUGUAAAGCUUUCACUGAAAAUCCGUGGGGGGUGGAGGAGGAUGCUAAGGAGGAAAGGAAGAGAAAUGAAAAUCGGCCGAUUCACCCUGUGGAUCUAGUUGGUUAGGACAAGAAUGACGCACUGCUUUUGCUCCAUCCUCUAAUACCUGUUUUUACAGACCGGCCUUGGAAUGGUCACAUGGCAUGUUAGAGCACAGAUCUGGGGUCAGGAGACAAGCUCAAAUGCUGGCUUUCCCACUGACUAACCAUGUAUACGCACUGGGGCGAGCUGAUGUUUCCAGGCCGGUACAAUGGGAUCAAGACCUCGAUUUCCCAGAAUUGCUGUGACAUGAUGUAUAUGAAAGCACCUUAUAAAAUGUAAUGCUAGACAUUUUACAUACUGGUUUCCAUUGUCACCAAGUAUGUCAUUUCUACCCUCACUCAUUCAAACAUUUGUUGAGUGUCUGCCACGUGUCAGGCACUGUCUUGUGCGUCAGAGUGUUUAUCCAAAUGUAAACACUGCCAAUCCUGGCUAUUAUGGGGCCAAUGUGCAUCAGGGAAGAUAGACAAGAAAUAAGAAAUUAGAACCUUGUAUGAUGUGUGCACAAAGGGGUAAGGAGAGUGUGCUGUGGAAGCACACAAGGGCACCUGACCUGGUCCUGAGCAAUCACGGAAGACUGUCUGGGGCAGGUUUCAUCUGAAGGGAACAGUAGUGGUUGGCUAGAAAGAGAGGGAAGGAAAGAGCUUCCAUGCAGAGGGCAAGCACAACCAGCUUCAUCUGGCUGGACCAGAGACUAUCGAAUAGGGGUAAGACUGCCAAGAGAUGACACUGGCCGAGGAGCCUUUGUGCCCUAUCAAUGGAAAACCAGCAUCCCCGACUGAGGCAGAUGGAGUCAGCCAAGCAACACAUCACAAAACACCAGAUUUCUGGGUCCUGACAGCACACUUAAAUUAUGGGCCUGAACUUACCGCAAGACACGGCGUUAAUGAACUUCUACUCAUUUCCAGUAACAAAAGAAAGGGGAUUCCAACAUGGGCCACACCAAGCUGUUUUUUUAGUAGUUGGGAUAGUUGCUUUGCUAAUGACCUUUUUUGGACAUACACUUCUUAGAACCACCAGCACGGCUGCUGGAGUCACGGGGGCGGGUUGUGGUAACAUGCACCAUUAAUAACAUGCUGUCACCAGGUGACCAGAACAAGGUAUGGCAUGAAAAUGCCCAGCUGUGGGGGAUGCAUCCAUCUUUCUCUAAACAUUAAAACCACUGCAAGACAGAACUGACUGGAUGAAAUUGAGGGGCCCCAAAGGAUAAAAAUACCUCCAAAAUAUGAGUCACUUAUGAAAACUGAAUAGGAUACAAAUGAAAAGCUUGCGCUUAGGAGCCAAAUUUGAUUUGAAUCCUGGCUCCUCCACUUUCUAGUUCUGUCAUCUUGGGGGAAAUGGUUUACCUUCUCUGAACCUUAGUUUUCUAUCUGUAAAAUGGGUAUUAUAACAGUAGCUGCCGCUUAGUAUUGUUUACUACAACAGAUGACCAAUUAAAGUCGUUGGCACAGCGCCUGGCACACGGCGCUCAGCUAACAGUGUGAGCUCCUGCUGCUGUUGUCAUUGUUACUAAUCGCUUGCACCUGUGUUAGAUCAGGUCUGCCCUCACCUUCGUUUACACGAAUGAAAAAUUAGAGACUUGAACACAGAAAUGAACGACCUCUGUUAACCCUGACCCCAGGACUCUGAGGCCACGGGAAACAACAACCACGGUGACCUGGAGUCCUGGGUUAGUCACUAUUGGUACACACGAGGUCACAGCUAACUGACACUUUAUCUUCACGGUGGUGAUACUCCAGUUUCAUAUGAGAGGACUCUCAGGUAAACUGGCACAUUAAAAAUGCCACACUGGAAACCAGCCCUGAUCCCUCAGAAACGCGGUUUCUGUGCCCUCUUUUUAAUCCUUGAGGGUAACACCAUGGUAUAUUUCAUCAAAGCUUUCUCUUCAAGACAUGUAUCUUAAAAGUUACGGAUGUACCUCAAAUCUCUCUUCUUUUCCUUGCUAACUUGUUAUUUACCCCCCCUGACUAGGAAUACAUCCAAACUUUAUUUUAUGCUUUAAUUUAAACUCACUUUAAAGCUCUUUAUAUUCUUGGCAUGUUAACACCUUUGGAGACACCAGGGUCUAUCCAGGUAUGACUCAGCUGAUAAAGCAGCUUUCUUAAUGUCACCCUCCUCAGGAUUCCCACUGCUAACGUUAUGGGAUCUGGUAAAUAACUUCAUACUUACUCCACAGCGUUUAUGAUCUCGCAAUCUUAUCUCCUGCAGAGCUGGCCUGGAAGCUAAAUUUUAAAACUAGCUGUGGAUUUAGAAGAUGAUUCAUAAACCCUCCGCACACCAUGGAGAUGACUGGUGGCAGGAGUGGAUUCUUACAUGAGUCUUCUCGACAUGUGAACAGGAAGGAAAAUAACAGGUUACAGUUGCGCUUUAUGACCACCCUCCCUCGCUCCUGGCUAAUUAAUGAAAGCCAUGUGAACUCAACACUGCAACAUCCGCGUUUCGGUAGAGCGGAGGGCAGCACCAGGGCUGGGAGAGGUUAACAUGAUGGAGCACCUCUCAGUCAGCUUCCCAGGGGCGUGAUGCUGUUGCAGAGGUGGACAGUGGAGUAAGAUGGGGGGACGGUGGAGAUGGGUGGCAGACUGCGUUCUCAAAGGCAGGGGAACAGGAAACAGCACAGCAGGUUUGGAAAGCAACAAGCUGACUCCUGCAGGAGCUUAAAAGUGAGAGGGGACAGUGGCAGGAGAAAAACUCUGGCUCUUUUUUUUUUUUCCUGAAAAUCAUUCACUCUAAUAGGAUGGAUGCCUCUUCUGAAUACUGAUGUCCCCAGAAUAUCAAUUUAGGUUAUGGUAAAUUUUUUUCAGUAUCACUAUCCUUGAAUUUCAAAGCAUUUGCUGGCUAGACUUCUAAAAUAUGACAGCAUUCUUCACCAAGAGCACAGAAUUUAGAACAAAGGUGACACUGGACCACAGACUGAGCCUCCCGGAGGUCGAGGUGGGAACUUGCUCACUAAGUAGCUAGUCAGCUAAUACGCUUCCUGUGAGUAAGGCUUUUCCCCCUGAAUGAUCUCAGGAAUGCCCUCUCAUUCCUUUCACAGAAGCUAACGGUUUUAAAAUUCUAGCCCUAGCUCCAGAGUCUGAGGAACUUUAUCACUGGUCACAACACCCUGGAAAGUAUUAUUCAGAGAAGCUGAAAAAUAAAUUGUCUUCCCAGAUUUGAGAAAGGGGCGGAUAUUGACCUACAUUCAAUGUUCUAGAUUAAAAUCAUAGAUCUGGUAUCAAGAAAAAAAUCUUCUAUGUAAUCUAAUGAAAUCAACUUAUUUUACAGACAGGAAAUGGAAGCUUGGAUGGGAAAAAAACAGCACAAAAAUGAAAUUAUGGGUCAUUUCUAGUGGUGACCAGAGGUGGAUCUCUUAUGGCAGGUUUUGCAUUUUCAGAUUCGGCUCACUGUGGGCCAUGCUAACAGGCAGACGCAGGAGGUCAGGUUAUGUUAAGACACAGUUGCAAACCCAUCUCUAAGCUGGGAUGCUAACAGGCCUCAAAAACUCACAGGAAUUUAGGGAGCUCAUCAUUUAGGCUGGGAAGAGGUGAUUAAGCUCCUUGAGCUAAGGUUUAUUUGACCUAUCACGCACUGUGAACCAGGGACACUCAGUGCUGAACGUCAGCAGGGCUGGUCUGGGGUGACAGGCCACCCUGGUCAAAGCAGCCUUUACGCUAAGGGCUCCCGUGGCAGAAAGUGACGGUGGCCACUCGGGAAAUCGGCCUGACUCUGGCAAAAGUCUUCUUUCAAAGCCCAGUGUGACCCAGGCAGCCCACUCGCUAGCCCUGACAGGGACCACCCACCACAGAAUUCUACAGCAUCUCGGUGCCUCCUGUGGGGACUUGCCAUUCCUUUCUUAAAUGUACUCUUCAGUUCCAGCCAAAAGGGCAAAAAGCAAGGGUCCUGUAUGGGAGGACAGACCCCUUAAGAGGGACUUAUGUUGGAAAAACAAAUUCACUGUAUGUGAAUAACAAUCAUAACCCUUAAACAUCAAACCAUAUUCAUAAAAUUUAAUGACGAAAACAUAUUUUGGAAAGCAGUUUCUCUUGGUAUGUAUUAUGAUGUUCACUAUUCUACUGUACUAAGAUAAAUUGCUAAAGGUAUCCUAGAAAUCAAACCUACAAAUUAGGUUUGAGAACGAGAGAAAAUGUCUGGUAUUCCACUUUUGAAUUCAAAUAAUGAUUCAAGAGGUUUAAAAAUUAUCACGUGAAUAGAUAGGUAAUUAAGGAAAACGUGGUAAGACCUAACUGUAGAAUUUAGCUGGUGUAGCAUAUGUGGGAGGUUUGCUGUAAAAUUCUUUUAACUUUGCUGUAUGCUUGAGAUUUUUCAUAAUAAAAUGUUGGAAGAACGUAUUAUCAUUACCUCCAACUCAAGUGCUAAUAUUCCCAGAAUUCAUGGACUCCUAUAGCUGGAUGUAAGAGUGAAAGGUCUUGAAAUAUAAAAUAAAGAAAGCACCAAAAAUUAACUGGGGAAAGAGAAAUGACUCCAUACACAAUGUUGAGGGAUUUACUGUGUAAAUCCUUCUAAUUUGGUGAGUCUAAUGUAAAAAAUGAAAUUAAAAAAAAUUAGAAGAAUAUUUUCUAGUUUCUGGGUGGGAAGGAAUUCCUAAGCCCAAGGUAAUAAAAGAAGUCAUAAAGGAAAAAAAUAGACAAAAAUCAUUUAGCCAACUAAGAAAAAAUAUAAAGUUUCUGUAUCUCAAAAAAAUCAUAAGCAAAAUUAAAAAUCAAAGAUGAGAAAAGUAUUUGCCCAAAUAUCACAAAGACACACAGAGACCUCAAAUAAAUUAUAGUCACAGUCACCUCUCAAUAGAAAAGUUGAUGGUGGACAAGAACAGAACAUUUAUAAAAGGAAAUAAUGGACUAAUAAACACAGGAAAAUGUUAAACUUUACUGGUAGCAAUUAAAAAAUGCCACCUGCCUGGCACAGUGUGGGUAUUCAUUAAAUAGCUGUUGAAUAAAUGAACCAAAAAUAAUGUAAUGUUUUUGUCUAAAGAUUUUUUUAAAAGGCAAUACUGAGUACUAAUGAAGAAAUGGUGAGACAGGCAUUUCAUACAUUGCUGCAACGUGUAUUAACUUGGCACAAGUUUUCGAGAAAACAAUUUGGCAAAGAGUACGUAUCAAUGAUGUUUAAAAAGUUUCGCUCCUUUGUCUUAAAUUCACUGCAAGAAAUCUAUCCUUGGGAAAUCAUUAAAAAUAUGUCCAAGGUUUAUAUUUAAAAGGAUAAUUAUUGUAAUGUAAAAGUAGCUUUUAAAAAAUUGAAGUAAACAGUCUGAAAUUCAAGAAUAUAAUGCACCCUUAACAGUGAUUUUUAAAUCACUUGUAAGCACAUGGAGAAAAAUGCUCAUUUAAAAAGUGGGAUACAAAAGUGCCAACACAGAACAAUCCUGAUGCUGCAAACUCGUGUGUGUGUGUGUGUGUGUGUGUGUGUGUGUGUGUGUGAAAAUACUAGAAGGAAAUAUAUUAGCAAGUAUUAACAGAGCAUUGGGUGAUGGGAUCAGAGAAAAUUUUUAUUCUUUACACUAUUCUACGUUUUAAAAGAAGUUGUAUUACAGAUUAGUUAGAAAAGUAUUAAAAAUACGCUGUUAAAAAUCUGGAAGAGUGAUCCAUUGCAUUAGAAACCCCUCUUCACAGAGGUCAAGACUACCAAUCAGGUAAUGACUUUGAAUUGCUGUCGCUCAUCAAAUUUCAAGGCCCACAUCCACACUCGCCGCCCCCACCCACUCCGUCUUGCAGUCCCGCCUGCUCAGGGUGCACUCCCACACGUCCACACGCCAACUCAUCUUCCCCUCAGACCUGUUUUUCCUCUCGGAUUUCAUUCUGCGGUGAAUGAGACGGCGUCAUAACCAAAGCCUCCAUCCUCACUUCACCUUUUCCCUUGUUUCAAUCCCACUAAGCUCCCUUGAAUCCACCGCCACUGGUGCCCUCAUCAUUUCUCCCAUGGAUGUUGAGUGCAGCUUGCUUUCCACCGGAUCCCCCUGUCUUGCCUGACCUGUCCACUCUUCUCCCUCUCCCCCUAACUCAUUCUCUUCUCUGCAGCCUGUGUGAUCUUUCUAAAGAGAACAUCCGGCCACGUUCCUCUUCCAGAUGGAAACCUUCAGGCAAGCACGGCCUAGAGCGUGAGUUACCUCUCUCAUCAAUGACUCCUCCAGCUUCAUCUUCUCUCAUCACUCCUUUCCCCACCCCCUGUCACAUCUCAUAGCUCUGAGCCUCUGCAUAGGCUGUUCCUUCUGCCUGAAGCCCUCACUAUGAUGUCUGCCCCCUCGUCUAGCUAAUUCCUUGAAGGCUGUCCUUUAAGAGUCAGUUCAGACAUUGCCUCUGUAAGGAAGCCUCACGGAUGGCGGUUAAGUGUUACAAGGUCCCACAGCAUGCUGUUUUUAUGUGACUGUAGCACUAAGCAUGCCUUGUGCAUUUGUUUUUGUAUCUCUGCCUCCUCUACCAGAUGGUGAGCACCUAGCAAAAUAGGCCCUCGGUGUUUGUUGAAUGAAUUAAUAAACGUUUCCACUAUCUAAAACGGAGUUACCUAUUCUCAUCUUGAAAGAGAUCUCAACCAAAGAUUUUGUCACUUCCAUCAGCUAGCCACUAACCUGUGUUAUUAUCUUGGCAAUCGAAAUGGUCUUACUUAUUCAUCAGCCAACAAAUUUAUUUAUUUCAUACCUUACGUUCUGACAUACCUCCUUGUUUUAUUUGAAUCUAUUGUUCCUGCCAAGUACACCAGAGAAGUGUUACUAACGUCCCUACACAGGACAGUCAUUUAAAGCUCUACACCUUACUAAAAACAGGCAGUGUGUUAGGCCCCAAGGAUAUAAGGCUAAAUCAGAUCCUUACUACUCACAGACCAUUAGCAAGAAAUCCUUUAGCCUUUUUCGGACUAAGAUCCUCAGGUACUUUAUCUUUGCUAGAACGGUGUAUAACUUCUGUUGCUUGUGUAUCAGCUCUUCACAAUUACCCAAAAUCUUUUUUCAAAUGUGACUCAAAUUGGACACAAUAAUGAGUCUGAUUUUCUUACCCUUUUAUGUCAUACUCCUUUCAGUACAGCCAAGAAUCAUGUCUAUUUUUUCCACAACAGCCUUACAGUACUGACAAAUUUAGUUGAUGGGCAAAUGGGAUGCCUUUGUACUCAACUAAACUACCUUAUAUCUAUUGCCACCAAAUUUCUUCUGCUCAUGGAGAAUCAUUUUUCCAGUUUGUUAUAUUUCUGGAGUUCAGAGGAUUUGCAGUCCUACCUAAUUUGGUAACAUACACAAUGGAAAAGAAACAAGAUUUCAUUAUAUAUGAGGAAAACUCUCCCCAAGUGUUUAACAUUGAAUCUUUAAGUGUCUACUGGAAUUCGCAAUGUACUUUACACAUACAUGUGGCUAAAUGUUUAGGGAUGCUGGGCUAUCUGUUUGGAGGUUCUGGUCAUAUUAACCAUUCCCUUUAUUUAUUUAAUAGUAGUCAAGUAUUUUCUCCACCCUUCCUCCUCCUCUCAGGCCUUGCACCCCCACCUAGCAACCACAGAGAGUGACUUCUUUUUGACUUGGGAUGUCUCCUUUUUUAAAUCACAGCGUUUACUGGGAGGUUAGAGAAUGGCAGAAUCGCGGUAGGGUCUUGCUCUAGGCCGGCGCCCUGAACCUGGUGGCCGAGGAUGGGCUUCCCUGGGGCAAUGCCCCAAAAAUGCAGGCAGAUGCUUGUGCAUGAGCCUGGUAAAAGGAUUCAUGGCUUUCAUCAGAAUCUCAAAGGGGCCUGACACCCUGAAAAGGUUAAGAACUCCAAUUGUAAGGCAUUCAGACAUGAAGCAGUAAACUGAAUAAACAGCACCAACAUGACUGACUCAAUUUCUACUCAGCCAUCUCCAGAGAGGAUGAGAAAUUCCAUAAUAAUUAUACAGCAAGCAUCUUUUACCUUAAUGAAGAAUAUAAUGUGAGGGUGUGAUUUGGGGGAUCCAGCAUACAUGAAAUUAUACGAGGCAAUAAUCUAACACUUUAAAUAUCAGUCUCUUCAAACAUCUCUGUUUCUACUUUUAUCCAAGUUCAAUAUACUUGCUUUAUCUUCUCUUGAUACCUUUAGCUUAUUGGUUUAAAACCAAAACAUCAUGAAUCCAAAGUUUCUCUGCACAUAAAUAGUAUUUUACCAGCCCCAAACAUAUCCCUUUCAUUAACUAUGAGUAAUUAUAUUUUUUUGCUAGAAUAUACUGUUAUCUUCCAUAUCUGUGUUUUAAAUAACAUUACAAAAAAAUCACUUAACAUAAAUAUGUCAAAAUCAAAACUGCCUUCAUGUCAAUAUGCUGCAAAAAUCUAUCAAAAUAUAUCUUAACUCUUAAUUUUCAUUGUUGUCUACAGGUUAUGUUAUUGUUUAUAAUUAUCACCACACCCAGAGUGUUUUCUACAGGUAAAUAUGAAAGACAGUAUAAACGUGGCCAGGAAAAAAUGCUCUUUAAAGCUUUUCCUUUGAUGAAAUGCCAUUUAGAAAUAAGAACUUGUGAAAAUCAGAAAUCGCCAUCAUGCACACUCACCACGGAACAGUCACACGAGGGUCCCCGAGCACGGGCUGGGCUUGUCCUGGAAGCAAGGGGUUCACUUCGAUUAGGAGAACAGGCAAGUAGAAACAGCAAGUGGCACAGCACGUCGCUCCAGCUCAUCUUAUUUGCAGACACAGAUUUUGGAAUCCUCCAGGACUAACAAUGAAAACCACACUACGUUGUUUUCCCAAUUCCUGUGAAAUGAGUCAGUAGGUCAAACGACUUAUCCACUCUCGAAAGACAACAAUUCCUUAAACUGCACUCACUGUUUCCAGUAACCGUAUUCCCCCUCUCUGCCCUCUGAUAAACGUGCUGCCGACAACCUACGGAGAGCCCAGAGGGUCCGAACGAGACCCAUCGUAGGUCCCGCCAGAAGGUUAGUCUUCUUCACAGGCUAGUUUCCCCUUGUGAAUGUUUAAGAGGAAAAAAAAAAUCCAGUUAGGAGUAACGUGUGGAUGAAGUUUCUUCACUUAAAGAGUUAGAACUUUUUCUCCGUGGAGACCAUGUAGUAAUUUCUUUCUUUCACACAAGAGGAUAAAGUGAUCCUUAAAAAAUAUAUAGAAGAGCAGUAACUGAACAUCUAAAAGCCCCCUACGAACGGCUUCCUUCUGUAAAACAUCCUUUCCUCCCGAAAAGAACUAGGAUAUUCAAAAGAUUCGAGGAUUACUCAAUUAAUCCAUGUUCUGAAAGACCCUUUACAGGCUUCUCUGAGUCCUGCAGUUCCACGCAUUAAAUCAUAUAAAGCAGAAGUAUUUAAGAGCGUGCUAGCAGUCUGUGAAUCCACGACUCAAAGACGAUAAACACUGGUUUAGCAUUAAUCUUCGGAAUCUACCACCUACUCACCACAUACAACACUGCUUCGACUCAGCGACCUUCGGCAUAGGAAAUCACCAGCCACCGGCAAUGAAUCCACAAUUCCAAGAACUCACACAUUCCGGCAAAUAGAUGGACAUGCGUCUCUAAAUAUAGGUACCGAGACCUUCCGGGACAGUUCUUCAGUAGGAGACUGGAAAUACUUUUGCUUUCUGUAUCGAGAGUACUUUCUUUCUUUUUAAAGAGGAGGUUUCGUUUUGAUCUUGAGAAAUUGUCUCUGAUAAAACCACCAACUGAAAACCUGCCAUUAUAAACGAGGGGUUUCACAACGUUCAUUCCAAAAAACUGUGGCUAUUCAUUUCUGGAAGUGAUUCACUGCAAAAGAAUCGUUGUUGGCGGUGGAGGGAGCAUUAAUUUUUAGAAGGGAGCCUGCCCUCUGAGAAGUGAGCAGAAACCUCAGGGACGGCAGCCACGUGCCUUGCUGACCCCUAUUACGGUUCCCUGAAUCACUGUCCCUCAAGAUGACACUCGAUGACCAAUUUCCCCUUAGAACUCCCUCAGUAUACAAAAACCCUUUGGUCUGUACACCCUGAAUUUAAUCCUCUGCUCGGGUGGAAAUGUUCAAAUAAAUCUGCGAAGGCUGCAGCCACAUUCUCCACCUGUCAAUGCUUGGUUGCUGGCGAGCAACCAGCAUACGGAUACUCACUUCCUGUGAGUAUUUCUAAAAGAGCUUAUGAUAUUUCCUUUGAAAGGAAAAGUGGGGAGGCAAACAGCACAGGGAGGAGAAGGAAAUCCAACAAGCAAAGCGAAAAGCAUGCAACGUGAUCACUGUUUACCAGCCACGCCUAAUUUUAAUUUGGUUUCUCAACCCCUGUGUAAUUAAGAGAGCCAACAGGGAACAGCAUCAGGAGAAAGGAAAAAAAGACAUUUCACAAAUGCUUGGACCUUCAGUGUGCGUGACCAGAAAAGUAAUUUUAAGAUACAAGUGAACCAAUCUGAGGCUGGUUAGAGCAUUAACCCUUCCAAGAAAGAAUGGGAGUUAUUUUCAUUUGUCCCCAAAUUUCAAAUAUGGAAAUCAUCUUCUCUACGGGGCACUGAGACACUGAAGACACAGCCUCUGAGUGCCAUCCCUGGGGUUUGGAAAAGAAAGAACUUUUUCAGAUUUGUCUGAGACAGGGCCAGAAAAACAUUUAUUUAUAAGACGCCGUCACAUUAACACAGUGGCCACGUGGCUUUCACACCAAAGCGCCCUUUGAAAACUGGCCACGAGGGGCUGAAAUAUGACCUUUUGUAUUUCUCUUGGCUUUAGCCAAAUCUGAUCAUUUAUACCAGAGAAGAGUAGAAUUUCAUGACAACUGAACAAAUGGAGCAAGAAAAAUUGCUUUUAUCCCACCUUAAGGAGUACCAGUGGGGAUGGAACUCAUUUUCUGAAGGGACUAGUAGAUAUUUUGCUUAGAGAGGAGCUUAAAAAAAGCCUGUGCUUUAUUUUCAGGCUGUUCAUGUGCUUCUAUCUUGGGCGGGAAGGGUGGGGAGAGGGAGCUCACGAAGGUGGGAGGAGCACACUCCUGGCUUCCACUUAAUGAGAACUGAAGAAUAAAAACAAAUAAACCAAGUGCAUCCACGUAUUUGUUACCCAGCACCGCGAAGCCCUUAGUUUCUAACCUGGUGACACUUUGCGAUGUACACCCCAACUGCUCUAUUUCUCAUUUUUGAACACUCAAGACAAACAUGAAGAAUAUAUGGAAAAUUUACAGAAUCAGUAUUUGCUCUCCAGAUCUCUGGGCCCACUGUUCUCUGCCCCCAACAAAAUAAAACCCUGCGACAAAUAUUCUUCAUGUUUAACGUUUACGCAAAGUUUCUUUUUAAACAAUGAAAAAAAGUGCACUCUUUAGUGGCACUUUUACAGAAAAGAGAGGGAGUGGCCUCAGACGGGAAGGGACACCAGAGCACGGGAAGUCAGAAGGCCUUGUGUUCGAGUUCCAGCUCUUCCUUUGGCUCUACUUUGCUCUGGUUCAGAUCACGCAACCUCCUUAAGCCAGUUUAAUCACCAGUGAUAACAGCAUACUCAUGUACACGGUUGGUCUGGGUGCUAUCAAUAGCCCAACACAUACCUAUCUACACAUUUAAUCCUCAUGAUAACCCUACAAACUAAGUCCUGUUAUUAUCCCCAUCCUACAGAUAAGUAAACUGAGGCCCAGGGAGUUGAAGGACUUGACCAGGAUCACACCAUCAGUAGGUGGUGGAGUCAGGACCCAAAGCCGGGGAGCUUGAUCUUGACCACUCUGUUCCAGAGCUUUCCACCGGCACAUCCUCCAGUCUAAAACAGCACUUAUGAAACUUCCUUGAAAACUACAACACAAGGCAGAAUUUUAAUCAUGCCACAUGCAAAUGUAUUCUCUGCAGAAUUUCAAAAAAUUAAUGACAACUAAGUAUCAGUAAUUCUAACACAUUAGUUUGUUCUCUGAGAACAGCUUUGUAUAAUUUGCAGACUACUUCUUUGCGUAAUCUGCGAUGCUGAGUUUCAGAGGGAGAAAGGGUUUAGAGAUGAUCGUGUUUUCAAUCCGUGUGGUUACGUGAGGCUCACAGUCUCAGAGUUAAAGUUUGAACCUCCAUCCUGUAUGCCCCAGAGCAACACUGUGCCACCCACUGCGUCACAGCCCCACGGGGUCUAUAAGUGCACCUGAACUGUGACACCCUUCCCGGGUAUGUCAACCUGAACGUCAGGCGUCCAUUCAUUCACGUGAUGCAUGGACAUGUAAUAUUUCCUCCGAAAUGAGCGUCAGUUAUAAAUUCUCUUCUCACUACAAGCUCCUCAUGCUUUAAGAAGAAAAGAGAAAGAUGAGGAAAGAAAUCCUUUCUUCACCUUAUUUUUUAAAGUCAGGGAAAAAUGAAGCCUCUAUUAAAGUUCUGCCUAUGAUGAACGUAACUGAAGUUCCACCCAAUUCUUUCUUUUCUCUUUAAACUUGCUCAUAGGCAGACUCUUUGACGUCUAACAAACUGUCUCUCCCACAUACUGACUGAACUUGGCUACAAGCGUAACUGGAAAUGGGGGGAACUCUUUGGCUCGACGGUGGAUGAUGACUUGGCCAUUUACUUUUCGAGGAAAAGGUAACUUCCUACUUAGGGUCUUCAAGCUUUUCAUGCUAUUUACAAAGUUUGGCCUUAUUAUUUUCACUCAAAAUUUUUUUGAUGGUUCCAUAUCAUGUUGGGUCACGCCAAAAUACCUGAAAAUGCCUCUUCCUAAAACAAAGACAUUUGUUGACAAGAAAAGUUAAGAGAAAGAAACAAGGCCACAUUCUGGUUUUAUUUCCACUUAAGACAGCAAAGAUUCUGGGAAAUUUAUGUACGUUAAAUUUAUAAGCCGGCACUUUUUUCCCCCCCAAGAUUUAUUUGGCGUGAAAAGUUACUUCCCGUACUGUAAUCAUAAAAUCAAAUGUUAUUUACUCCCGUCAUAAUCAUUCACAUACUUCCUGUCAUAAAAACGUGAACUUGGUUGGAAUAUUAAACACUCGAAAAAUUAUAGGUAGGAAGUGGUUAUAUGGAUAUAUAUUAUUAUAAGUUCACAUUCUAAUCUAAGAAAGGGACGAAUCUUCCCUUCUUGGAAAAAGCAGUUUUAUGCUAUAUCAUUUUGGGUGACUAGUCCCACUUAUGGGCCAUAGAAUGAACUUUAAGGGUAAAAAGAGCUUUCCUUAUUCACUGAGCUCAAUCAAUAUUUCGUGGUGGCUCUCAGGAUGCCUCCCAAGGGAAAUGUGUGUGUAUUGGGCUGCAAUGUAUUUGCAGAGUUCAUGGCCUGGAGUUAAAACUGUGAAAAUUCACAACCUUACCUAGGGUAGGAUGUGCACAUUUUAAAUGCAUGUGCACAUUUUUCGUUGAUGCCUGCAUACUUCUAAAAGAAAACAAGCUUCUAAAUUCCUAGGCUUCCUUGUGUCUGGUGGGAAAAGCAGAGCCAGUGUACACAUACAAUGAUAGAAGAAAGUGUGCACGAGCAGAUUUGUUUACAAAGCAGGGCCCAGCAAAGUCUGUCUCUCAGUGCCACAGCAGGAUCCAUCCAACAAAACAAACACACAAACACAGAAGAAUCUAUGGGAACCGCUCUUCUUUCUGAAGAAGGUGUGACAGUUUGUGAUUAUAACUGGGCAGUAAGUUAUAUAAUAUCACAAUGUGGCUCAGUCUUGAAUUGGGAAUAUGCCACAGAGUCCAGUUUAACACACACACACACACACACACAGAGGUGCACAGACUUAUAGACCGUACAGUGGUUUCAAUGCUCCUCCUUUGGCAUUAGAGUCUCAAAUUUCUUUCUUUUGCACUGGCAUCGUCUUCUACCUUUAAUCCUACAUAUUUCCUUGUGGACAAGGCGGUCCCUUUAAAUUCAUCAGGAAACAACAAAACCAACAAACUUUACUUAUUUUAGUUUAAUUAACUGUAUGGUCAUCUGACCAGGCUUUAAAGUUUAGACCCUUGCUUCCCUUCGUGAGGAGCAGAGCUGAGCCAAUCAGUGGCCAAAUCUAAUCUGCCCUUGUUUUCAGUGACUGCUGCCUUUGUCCACUCCCUCCCGUUCCCACUUUCAUUCAGCAUGUCAGAUCUUUAUCACUUUGUUCCUGAACAAGUUAUGAUGGCCUUUUUAAUUGUUUCACUUGCCAAUGAGCGACUAUGUGGUGGGAAAAUACAGUAAAGAGAAGGAAGAUUGGGUUCUGGCUUUGGCUCUGCCAGAUAUAAACCACGUGAUCCUCAUAAAGUUACGUGAUUUCCUUGGGCCUCAGUGUUCUCAUCCAUGGCCUGAAGAAAAUGGCUAUCAAAUUAUACGGUCUAAUCCAGGACAUACCAGUCACCAAAUAGAAUCUUCUGAAAUUUAGCUCAAGUCACUGCACACCUUAAAAAUCUUCAGUGACUUGGCCAAAAUUUAAGUUCUUCCACCUGAAUUAAAUCUGAAAGACUCAUAUAAAACGUAAGGCACCACAUAAACAGAACAGCAACCCUAAUAGGGAUCAUUUCUUGAUCUGCACGCACUAUGUACUCCUCAGGAGUUUUACAUACAUGGGCUCUAAUCCCCAUGACCACUCGGCAAGGUUGCUUUCAUUACUCCCCAUCACAAAUUAAGAAUCUGAAGUUCUGUGAAUAACUCACCCGAGGUUAUAUAACCUAGUUAAGUGCCAGGAAUGACAUACAAGUCUACAUGUGGUUGAUUGCAAAGCCCACUAAGCCCUACUGAGUGCUCUGAAGGUAACAUAAUAUGGGGGGCGGGGGUGUCCCUAACUACUUUAGCAAUCGAUCUUUGAGUCCCUGUAGCUACCAGGAGGCAUAAGGAACAACAGGUCGUCAUAAUAUAAAAACACUGACAAAGCGAUCACUUAGCGUUUAGUCCUCAUGAACAUCAGCAUCUGUUCCUGCUUACUUUCUUGGUUGGUUAGUAUCACAGAGUAAGAAUGCAAAUACAAUGUGGUUCACUUGUAACGUGAACCUGCAGGUUUUACAUAAAGUUGAUAAAAACGACACUGGAGAACUGCUUCAGUCACACGCAGUCACUGACAAAUAUGGAUCAAAGAGCUGAAUGGGUGACAACUAAGGAAGAAAAAGUCAACAGAGAUGAUUACAUGAGAGGCAGACUCUUCAAGAGAAUGGUUUGUGUAUCAGAAGAUUAAGAGAGGCCCUUGGGAGAAUUUGACGCUUGUACAAAGAUCACCCACUUUAUGAUUCUGCCACAGAAGCCAACCUUCAAUCUUUGUUCUAAGAGACAACAUAGUGCUGCAUCAUAUCCCAAAUUUCUGUUACAUAACGUAAUACAAACUUAGAUUCAACUUUCCUUUUUAACUUUUUAAGACUUAGUCCCAAUAAAAUCUUUUUAAAAAGUUUUACUGUUUGUUUUAAAUGUCUGAUUCAGUUUUAAGUCGAUUCUCUUAAAGUAGUGGUUUUCUGGUACCAGUUAUCUUCAGAUGUAAGGAUCUCUUGAAAUAGCAGUAAUAGAAAAUGGAAGAAUAAAAGGAUUACUGAUAUGCAAAUAGUAGUCAAUAAAAAAGGACUAGUUCUCGACCUACAAAUGGAAAGUAAUAUCCUAGUUUUCCUUGAAUUUCAAGAUUCUCAGUCUCACCUAGUUCAAAGGCUCCCAAGAAGAAACCAAGCUCAUCAGCCCCAUGCCCCAGUCCUGCCACUCCAUCUAUGGUGGCACAGAUACGGCACUUACACGGCAUCAGGCUAGGCCUUGGGCAAGUCUGAGUAUCUAGGCAAAACCAGGCUGCAGUCUAGCAAACUCUCAGUGUAAAUCCUAACUUUAUAAGAUUCACUCCAUCCACUCCAUCUUCAUCCAGCUACCUGAAGAUCUCUACAUCUUUUCCGUAAGACAAGAGUUUAUAAUCUGGAAGAAUUUUGCCUUAUAAUAAUUCACUUUAAAAACGCCCCACUGUAUCAAGAUCCUUUCUAACAUAAAGUAUGUAUAUACACUUGUGAAUAAAAUUAAAUGGCUUUGGUUUCUGCAAAUAUCCUUCAAUCAAAGGUUCAGAGAAGGGCUAUUUUGAGAAAGAUUUAAUGGGAUUUGUAACAUAAAACCUCAGAUGCAUGUUGACUUAAGCAAGACAACUCUGGAAUACAAAGUGUGUUUGUUGUGCUUUUUCUGGUGACGACAAUGUCCACCUCCAAGAAUCUAAUAAAAUAAUGUUGUCUCCAAUGCCAGAAAGAAACCCAAGAAGGCACACCCUCAGAGGAUUGAGUCUUAAAUUGGCAAAUUCUGGGGCAUUCACUGUAAGCAAUCAGAACAUUAUUCAUGAGCUUUUGGCCUUGCAAGAUUGUUGUUUGCCUUGUGGAGAUUGGCAUGUUCCUAAAGAGAUAGCAGUUCUGUGAUACUCUGAAAUAGCUCCUUCUCUCUGAAAAGCAAAAGGAGUUACUCUUCAUUAAGAAAAAUCCUGAGCCUAUAACCUACACAUUAUACUAGAGAUUCUUUUUCAUAUAUACAGAAAGGAUAUAUAAGCUCAAUAAUGCACAGUGCAAAAUUAAUAUGUAAAUAUAUACAAGAGCCUUUCUAGAAUUCAGAAAUCUGAAACUGGGGAAUGGGUUGAGCAGAAGUGGACAGGAAGGAAGAGGGGGCAGUUUAGUGGUUACGAACUCCUGACUAGGAUUCCAAAAGAUUUUUAACACAGCGCUGGUUUUCCAGAAAGGCUUUUGCAGCACCGAGCCCAAAGGCAGCAUAAUGAUGUCGUCGCAGUGUAUAUUAAUGAAGGCCACUGAUAAUGACAUGCUCUCUCGUAAGACUCGACACACAAGCUGAAUAUGCAAGCAGAUGAGGUAGAGGCAGGCGGCAGUUCCGUUUACAGCCCUCAGAAGCAGUGAAGCCUGUGCUUCAGAAGCUCGGGGUGGAAUGCUUGUUUUGGAGAGCGUUCAGCGGAGAGCAUUUGGUUUCCUCCAUUUAACCAGGUCACCCAGGCAUGGAAUGCACAGCUCUGCCAGACAGAGAGCGUUUUGGAUGCCUGAGAAACAACAGCUUGUCCAGGCUACUGAUGCGAAGAGAGGCCACGGUUUCUUUUUCUCUGCUUUGAAUGGCAGCCUUGACGUCACAACAGCUAGGAACCACUGAAGGGACAAAUAAGGGGCAAGCCAAGAGCGCCCUGCUCUGUUGCAGAGCUGUUUUCAUCUCGUUCUGGUAUCUUCUGUGGCUGCAGGGAAUCAGCAUGAGCAGAGGAGGAUGACUAGAGCUUAAAAAUAAAGGCAGUCUGUGAGGUUAUAAAACAGACCUUUGACCAGUGCUAAUGAUUGCCUUCAGGAAACCUGGAUAAACUUCGGCUCCUGAAUUAAACUUAUUUCGGGCACAACAGACUUCCCAGGGAACGCUUGCAAUGAUUCUGCUGAUGGCUCAGACGUCUGCACUUGCCCUGAAGAGCUAAACUUUUUGUAUUUCAAAGCAGACCUCUUCUAAGAGGGGCUGGCACAGAAGUCCGGGGAAAUACAAGAAGCUCAUGAGAGCGGGCAGACAGUCUUUGCAAGAGAUGUGUCUUAUUUUCUAGGAUAAAAUCAUCCUUUGAGGGAUUUUAUAAUUUAAGUUCAAGCAAUUAAACAUGCGCAUUAGCACCCAACUGCAGGUGUCUGAAUAAAUGGGUGAAAAAUGGUCAGAUGCUAGCGGGCUUAACGCACCAUCAUCUAAAAUGAGUUGUCUAUAGAAGGCAUCAGAGCAGUUUGAAAAGCAUGAUCUUCCAUGUUUCCACCUUAUAGCAAAAUUAUAAAUUAUAUUUAGCUGCGUGAGUGCCAGAUCAUUUAUUUCCAUUAGAAAUGCAAUGCUAAGUGCAGACAUACUGGGCCACCUGCAGACAGGAUCAGAAAGCCUCAUCCCACUGCCUUCUUUUGCCACAUGGUUGCCUGAAGUUCAGUCCUCCGCCUUGGGAGCACUGACAACUUUCACGAACGCCAAACCCUAGCCCGAACCCAACAUCGCUUGGGUCCUUUGGGACGGCUGAUGCUGGAAAACCAGGGGCUGAGGCGUGUGUGUGUGCAUGUGUGUCGGGGGUGUGCGGCCAGUGGGAACACCUGCUCCUAGGACUUUCUGUGCUCGUAUUUGGAAAAGAAGUUCAGCAGAAAGAACAACGCUUCCAAGGUACUCCGUCCCUUUUACCAGCUCUUUCUUCUCUUGACUAAAUAAGCACUUCCAAAGCAUGCCUUCCCUGUGGUCACUGGGUCAAUCUUGUUUCACGAGAAUUAUCUGCUACGAAGAUUUACUCACUUUCAAAGAUAAAAGGGUAAAAUUCUGACCCAAAACUCUCAUUUAAGACUUCUACAACAGAAUACACUCUUUCUGCCUUCGGGUUGUCCUACAGGUAUCUGGGGCCUGUUCUGGAAUCUGGUCUUUGGACUCAAAUGACCUCACCUGGGUAGAAAAGAAACUCUGUGCCUUGUUCCUGCUGUUAAAAAAAUUCAAGCAUGUUCAGUGAUUAAACAAUGGAGAGGAUACAGCAAAAAUUAUUUUUUAAGUGAAUUUUCUUUCAAAUGGCAGUUAUAGUCAAGAGGUGAAAUUUAUUCUAGCCCUACCCUUGUUUUUAUUUUAGAAGAGCUUUUUAUAGUUUAAGAACUAUAAUUAAAUUCCCUCUGAACUGAUUUAUUAAACUCAAGUUUUCAAGAAGAGAAUGAUGGCACUUCUCAAACUAUUAAGUUUCCAAAAGGAAGACAAUUUAUUUUUAUUCUAAUGCAAGGGAGGAGAGAAUGAGAGGUAAAAUAUUUUUUCCAUCUGCACCUUGACUACAAUUUUUUAAUGUUCAAAUUACUAGUUAUAAAAGACAGUAAACAAUCAGGCAUUCAUUGAAAAACAACUAUUGAAAAGGCAAUAUUUAAAAGAGAAAAAAUAAAACAUGAUGUGAUUAAAACCCUCCGCACGUCUUCCCUUCAAGGCAAAUGCUGUGCCCAUCUGGGUAUUUAGAAGGUGCCAACUAUCGCUGGGACCUAGAGUUAGUUCAUCUCAUAAAGAAAGCACCGCAUCUGAUUCCUUCACAAAAGACCUAGAACCUCAUGGAAACGAUGGUGGUGAGACGGACAGCGAACUGUUAACAUUAAGAUGAGGUAUUUACUUCAAAAUUAUUUAAAUAAAGAAUCAAUCACAAACAUGAACAAACUUUCAAUGGUCUAGUUAGUGUUCUACUCCUAAUGAGAAAAGGUAAUUUUAAAGAGAAUUUUCAGCUUUCAUAGGUUUCUGCUCUAAUUUUUGUCUCUGUUUGGAAAUCUUUAAAAAAAUCAGUGUUUAGAAACCCAGGCUGCUUUUAGUCAGAAGCGCCAAAGAACACAAGACAAGAUUUGUCCCCAAGGGACUCAAGAACAGACCCUGAGAAUCUACACACUGGACAUGGUACCCGCACGGAAGGCAUUGUUUUUGCUUGCUUUAGUGGUGAGGACUGGCAAGAACCAGAGUUCCAGGGCCCUCUUUUCAAGUGACGGGAAAUAGGAAAUGGGCUGUGCCAAGCAGCUCCCAGCACACGCAGAGGUAUCCAUGUUCAGAGGUUGAGCUGGCGCGAGCUGACUCGCCAGCCAGGGCGGCCACCCUUUGCAGGGAGGGCAGCUUUCCUUACACCCACUCUCUCGUGCCCCCUGAGUCUUGCCUGGACAGCAGUUCUGAUCCUUGUUUUCAAUCUGAGGACAUUAUGGGGCUUUUCAUGAAUUUUCUUUAGGAACAGACGCUAGUGCAAACACCACAGAAAUGAGCUCUCCCUUUUCCAAUUCCUCUGCUGAAAAUGGUAGAGAAUAUGUAUAGCCUAGGUCUAACCUUAUUUGUCAAAAAAUACAACUGAAAAAAGUUUUCUCCUCUGGUUUAUCAGAACUCAACCAACAGUCAUCAUCCAAUCUUAUAAAGCACAGGUGAGAAAUCAGUUUUCACAGAUUGUCAUUUCCGCUUGUUAGAAAGAUAAAUAGUUAGAUAAAAAGACAGUUCUUCCUGUCUAUCUAUCUAUCUACCUACCUACCUACCUAUCUAUCUAUCCCUCCAUCCAUCCAUCCUUUACUAACGUGAAAACAAACUCAUAACACUAACUUUCAAGAGUGAUUCUGUAUUAGAAAGCUUUAUAAAACCAAAGUCUUCAUGCUUAUAAAUCUACCCUCUAACAGGUAACAACACAGCAGCUCUGUCAUCAUCCUUAGUUUCUGAAUAUGUACGCAGAGAAGUGACACACACCGGGGUUUAUCUCCUUACAUGUUCUCUCCCUUCACAGCACAUCAGGACCUGUAACAGCCUUUGUCUGCUUGUAUGCUGCCUCCUUCUUCCACAGUCUGUAAAUUCCAUGAAGGCGGGAUUAACGCCUGUGCUAUCCUUGUAUAAACACUGUGGGUGGAAGGAGGGAAGAGAAGGAAAGGGGGAGGGGAGGGGAAGGACGGGAAGAAGAGAGAAGUAGUAAGAGAAGGAGGAAGGAAGGAAAGAAACAGUGCAACGCUAGCUACGCUGGUUUUACUAAACAGAAGGAGGACAUUCCCAGUUUCAUCAGAUUUUUCAUUCAAAGAACCUACCUAAAAUUCUUUGUAACUAUCAUCUCACCAAAUCACAUAACUCCAAGUGAUCUUUUAACAUUAUUACUUAUGACACAGAGGCAUAGAAAUGAGGCAUAAUUGGCACCUAGAUCUUUCAUGUUUUAUCUGUAUAACAGCCACUAAAGCAGGCAGUUCUCCUUACUGACCUUCCAAGUUAUCUGUGUGUCAAUACACAGCUGUGUCUCGCUAUCUAGGUGGAUAGCUUAAGAAUCGUGAUAAAGCUCCAGUAUCUCUUCCCCUUCUAUUCAUUCAAUGUGUCUUGGAAACACAAAGCCCCAAUUUUAACUUUGGAUGUAUUUCUGUAAAGGAAGAACUAGCUCUCAAGCAAUUCUCCUUUUUACCACCCACAUAAAAAUGUAGCUUCUGGGAAAAGGACUGAUGAGGAAAUCAUUUACUGAUAAUAAGCAGGGUCGCUGGGGACUGAGGACAACCUCAGACCUGACAGCUAGGAAGGCAGGUUGUGUCACUAAGAGGAUUCUGGUGCACCCUCCCAUCACCCGGCUCUGGGGGAACAUCCAGGUGUUCUUCCUCAUACGUGUCCUCUGAUGGGCAUUAUCAUCGACACAGGACAGAGAAGGGCCGACCCCGCCCGGGAGCCAGGCCCGGGGCUCAGAGCCUCGUGCUCAGUCUCCACAGCGACACGGGCUGCAGGAAGUGGCAACGCAGUCACGUGCCCGGCAGAGAAAGUUGUGAACACAGACUUUGUCUAAGGGAAAGAAAAGUCCAACAGACCAUUAUAGCUUCGAAACAUCUUGUCCACAAACAGUCACUGACGGAAACAACUUGCUGAGCUGAGCGCAGCCCGAAUCUGGUCUGUUUCUGCCACAACUGCCUAACGCCCUCUGUCAAGGCAGAGAUGGACAUAAGCUUCUGUCACCUGCGGCUGCCCUGGGAAUCCUGAGAAUCAAAAGGAAGAAAGCAAGUCCUUGUACACCUUAAUAUGGUGGGUCCCCUGUGAUAACUUUCCAUCCGAAAAAUACAUUCAAACUCAGUUCCGAUCUGAACACAAUCACACCAACCUUGGAAAUUCAGCUCUCAUCUUGCUGAAACCUUUCUCUCAGUUGUUUCUUAAUCAGUUUAUCAAAAUGUGUGAUUCACUGAGGGUCUACAAUAUAUCUAGCAUUCUUCUGAUGACAAAAGUAAUAACUUACUCCCUUUGGUCUCUGCACUCGAGUAGUUUAUAAUUCAGAUUUCCUUCUUCCUUCUCCUAAAUGCCUACAUCCUUUUCUUGACUGAUGUGGAUUUGGAAAAUAGAGCGCAUUCACAAACAUAGGAAGCUAACAGCACGGCACCCAUCACACAGCAAGAAAAGCAGAGAAGCGUCAAUUCUGACAGUGGGGCUAAUUCAUCUGGGUCCCGACCUCUAUCACCAGUGUCUCGGGAAAGCAACCUUCUCCAUCACACCCUCCUGUUGGCAAUAAGCUGUGACCCGCGGACUCUGUGCGUGGGACAUUGGGCUCUCUAGCAUGAUCUGCAAGAGCAUUCUCAGGUCCAGCUGAGGUCUCACCUCCUUCAGCAAGCCCCGGGGAGAGAUGGAAUCAGGGCCAAUGAACUAUGAUCUAAUCCUAGUGCCCAUGUGAGUUUGUCAAAGGCCCUCAGAGCAAAUUGUGUUUUCCCUGGCUGGGACUUGGCUUCCUUGCUUUAAAAAGGAUUCUUAGUAUUUACUGCAGUAAAAUUAAGCACUUUCAAAUUUCUGCCAGAUCCCCUGGAGAAAUAUGGUUUAUUAACACCGAACAAAUGUGAUGCUUGAAAGGCAGGAGAUCCGGGUUCUAGUCCCUGGCCCAUACUGACUCACUGGGAGGCUUGGGGCAAAUAAGCAGACAUGAUUUUUAAUGGGCACAGGGUGGGCACUGGGUAAGCAGGCAGUGCUCUUGUGAAGUGUGAGGCCGGGUUCUGUGGGGAAACUAAGUCAGUACAGACAAAGGCCUUUGUUAGGAGCCCGUUGCCUGCAGUGCUGUCUUGUAGCCGGGCUCAAGGUGGCCACGCUGAAACGUUAUCCUAAAAUUUUUGAUAUCUUGAAGCUGAAGGAACUGGGUGAAAUCUGUCAUUUAAAAGAGGGGCAGGGCAGUCCCACAUAGUAGCUAAGACCACAGCUUUUAGGAGCCAACUCCACAGAUUCAAAUCCUGGGUCUACUAUUUAAGCUUAGUUUUCUCAUCUGUAAAAUAUGAAUAAAUAGAAUCUACUUGUAACAGGUUGUUGUGAAGAUCAGAUGAGCUCAUACAUGUAAAGUAAGCACCAGGUGAACAUUAGCUAAAAGUUAACAAGGUACUAAAAUCAAAUAUAAGAAUUAAGUGUCUAUUCUUCCAGUUUACAAAGCAAAUUUAUAUAUAUAGUUUCAUUUGGACCUCAUGAAAGUCCAUGAGAGCGGUAAUAAUAAUUCCUAACCUUUAUACAGCCUGUAAAACAUUUCCUCCUAUUUUCUUUGAAGCUCAUACUCUCCUCAUUUGUUCUUUUGCAAGUCACAACUCAGCCAAGUGACCUGGCAUUGGAAAAACAAAAAGACAGAACUUUAAGAAAUAAACAAUAAUAAUUUUUAAAAUAAAAAUCUCAAUUGAUAGGUCAAACAGCAUUCUAGAAACUGCUGGAGAGGUAACACUUUCCAUGCCAUCUCCACACUGAACUCCCCGUCUCAGAUGUCUCUCCUAAAUGACAGAGUUGAAUAUCCACCUGUCUACUCGACAUCUCCACUGGAACUGACAUCUCGAAGUCGACACGUCUAAAACGCGAUUCCUCGUUUUUCUCUGCUCUCCCAUAAACAAGAUAAUGGGUAAACUGUGACAUAUUUGCACACACUGGAAUAUUAUAACACAUACAUGAAGGAAUUGGAGCUAUUCCCCCACAACAACAUGAAUCAGUUUUACCAACAAUAUGGGGGGAAAAACAUAAGCUGCAAAAAACCACACUCAGUGUGUCACCAUUUUUUACGUGGCUCAAAAUGCCUUCAGCAAUGCACAUGUGUGAUAAAAUAUAUAUAUUUGUUAAACAAUCAAGAGAAUUAAAAACACAAAUUUCAGAAUUGUGAGGAAGCCGGAGAACAAUAGGAAUGAAGUACACAGAGAGAGCCAAAAGUAUCUGUAAUGUUCUAAUUCGCAAAUUGGGUGGUGGUUCACUGGAGUGCAGUUUUUAAUUUAGAGCUUCCUUGUAUGUUACAUAUAAUCUUUUGUAUAUACCAAAUAAUCAACAAAUUAAAAAGACAGAAAUAUGACCCAUGAAAAUAAGCUGUGUUAAAAGUUACUCACACUUCAAAACAAUAAACUAAGCAGUGAAGGAAAUUAAAUCUUGCCAAAAAUAUGAAGAAACUGAUGUAUACUAAUAAAUUUGCUUAUGGAAUAUAAUUACUUUAACAAGGAUGAAUAAAACAUGCAUGUAAAAACAUGGGUCACAUGCCAAAGGAAAAAAGACCAGGUUUACAGGUCAGAACAAAUUUAUUUAUCAGGACUCUUUCUUCUAUUGUGUUAGGCUUUCCUUCUUAAAACAGAAGGCGGGGCCAGCCCCAUGCGGUAGUGGUUAAGUUUGCCACGCUCUGCUUUGGUGACUGGGGUUCAUGGGUUCAGAUCCCAAGCGCAGACCGAUACCACUCGUCAGCCAUACUGUGGUGGUGACCCACAUAAAAAAUAAAAGGAAGAUUGGCACAGAUGUUACCUCAGGGCUAGCUUUCCUCAAGCAAAUAAAAGAGGAAGAUUGGCAACAGAUGUUAGCUCAGGGUGAAUCCUCCUUAGCAAAAACAAAAAACAAAAAAACAAAAACCAGAACGUAUUGAUGUUGCUGUUUAGUAUUAACUGUUUAGCUGGUGGAUGGUCCAAAGCCACUAAGGAGGAGAACUUUGCCCUGCCCUGCCCGGUCCUGGGCCUCUCAAGGCUGAAGCUCGUCCAGGAGCAGUGGAGCCGCACCUGCUGGAGGCAUGUGAUUUUAGUUUACCUUUCUUUCCUCCAUCAGCACUGAGAGCAGACAGUUUGUUGUAGCUAGACUUAAAAUACGCUUUCUUCUUUCUAGAACAUCUAAGUUGCAAUUCUUAAAAUGAGCACAGUAUCAGAGUCUAUUUUAGAAGGAAGUGACCAAGCUCAAAGCAACAGUAGGCGUGAUGUGCCUUGUUUAUUUAUCUGUUCCAACAGGCAUAAAAGAAAGACGCCUGUGCAUUUCUUGUCUUUUUCAAAUAAGAGCUGGAUCUAUUUGAAUGGCCAGGGAGGAGAAGAUAGUUUGAUUUAGAUUUGGCAUGGGUUUAGGGGAAGAAAUGUCUUUGCAGCCAGUCCUAAUAUUAUGGUAACUUGGACGGAGUUGUCUCCAAGGGAGAAGUCGCCACAUGUUAUAACAGAAGCCACUGGGCUUGGCAAGGAAUGGAAUGAAAGAAUUACAAUUAAAACAACGCCAUUUCUGCAACAUGGCGAAGAUGUGCGGGCCAGGACGACUGCCUGUCCUCCUUUUCCAUGGCUGAUCAAAUUAAGCACUGCCCUUGCAUCAGCCUUUACCAUACUCUAAAGAAUAUGAAAUGCUGAGAUUAAUUUUAAUUUCCAAUGAAUUCUGAAGGAGAAUGUUUUCUUCUCCUUACUAAAAGAAGAAUAAACAAUUCAGCAUAGAGAUUCAAAAAGAGGAGUGCCAGCAAAAAUUCUGAGUUUGAGAAGGUUGAAGGUACAUUUUGCAAAUGUGUUUGUUAAUUUUAUAGCUCCAAUAGGACAAGACUGUGUUCUGUUUUGAUGUAUGCUCCACCACCCCCCCAUUUACAUUUUUAAAAAUUACAUUCUUACCUAUAUCAGUCUUGUUAUUUUGACUGGUUAUUCCCAAACACACACUGCCCUACUUUGAAGCUUUCCAAAGCCAAGAGGAGGGGCACUCUGGUACAAGGCGAGCUGUUAAUGAAUUUUUACUGAGUGAAUCUGCAUUCUUGCCUGGCCUGGAUUUGGAUAUAAGUUCUAAGGCUGCUCACACUAACACUAAUGGAGUUUCUAGCUGUCCAGGUUUCUUUUAGGUGAAAAAAAGUACAAAAGGCAUAAACCUUGGCUCACAGAGUAACUAUGUACACAGACCUGUGUAUUUCAUGAAACAUACAAGCUCAGAGCUCACUCUUUUAGACUAUACCAUCUGUUUUCCAGAGGAAAAAAAAGAAAAUUCACAUCAUUUACUAUGAGUCUGCAGAAAUCAUCAUAUACUUGCACAGUUAAAGGCAGAAUAUAAGGCUAAGUAUUGAAUGCCACCUAAUUCUGAUUUAUAUUUUUUUGGUCAAACUCAUCAUAAUUUAUUAUUUCCAAGAGGAAAAAUAAGCUGACAUAAUGGUGCUGAAUAUAGUAUCUAGUUUCCAGUUAUAAGAAGUAAAGGAAAUAAACUGAGAAAAAAUGUAAAUAUAAAUAAUACAGUUCUGGUUUACAAAAUGGUUUUCCAGGUAUUACCAUGCAGUUUAUUUAAAAAGAAAGGAGAUAUGUUUAUGAGAGAGGUAACAAACUAAGGUGUGUGUGAGUGUGUAUGCACAGAGAAAGAAAAUGAGAGAAAGACAGAGAAAAAGAGAGACAGACAGGAAUCUGGAAUAAUGGAGGAAACAGAAGUUUAGCAAUGUUUUAAAAAUCCGUAAUUAUAUGAUUUCUUAAAAGUACCAGCAUUACCUAGAUGUUGUCCUAGACCAAUGUGGAGAACAAGCUAUAAAAGACCAGUCCUGAACACUAACGAUGGGGAUGUACACAAUAUCUAGUUUCUUUUGGGAAAGAGAGAGCCAUGAUAGGGCCAUGUAGUAGCUGACUGAAGCCCAGGCUGAUAUGCUCAUCUUGAAGCACAGAGAGAGAAUGUAUCUUCAAAUAGGUGUCCAGGGCCUAAAUCCACAUGAGUCCAUAACACCCUCACAGGUCGGUGCUCUCUUCCUGGCCCCACUCUAUUUGGUAGUGAUCAGAGAACAGAGUGAGUCUGUUAGUCAUUCAAGAUACAUGCAUUAAGCACCUACCAUGUGUCAGGUACCGCACUUGGCAGACGCUGAAAUAUGGUGAUGAGCCCAAUGAAAAAAAGCUCCUGCCCUCAUGAAUCUUAGAGUCUAGCAGAGAUGAGUGGUGGGCACCAAGGAGGCACCCAGCAUAGGCCCAGCAGAGUGACUGAGAGCCCUGGCUGGCGGCAUUAAGAUGAAGGGUAAAUCCUGGUCUGCUAUCUACCUUGGAAAUAUUGUUUAACUCUCUAAUCAUUGCUUUCUUUAUAGAAAAAUGGAAUGAGGCCGUCGAGAAGACUUGAUGAGACUGUGUGUGAAUAGCACUUAAAACAGUCCUUGGCAUACAGAUAGCCCAGUAAACGGCAGUUAUGACAGUGUCGUAACUCAGAGAACCAAGGGACACACACACAGAAGUUUGCUAUCUUCUUCCCCAGAACACACUCUAACUGCUGGACAAGGAACUAACCCACAUCACCACGUUAUCACAUUUCUGUAGGAUUUUUGGCAAAUCAGAUGGCCACGAGUGCCACUAGGCUAGACAGGAAAGUCAAGUCGCUAAAAAUAUACCCCGGCAAGAGGCCCAUAUUGUUGCUGCAAGGGAAUGUUUUCUCCCUCACAAGGAGGUAGCAAGCAAGUGUUACUGGAUGACCUCUUGAAAAAUAACUUAUAAGCGUCUUCUCUAUUACAACAAGCUCUACCAAAAGCGCCUCUACCAUAAUGAAUGUUCUGGAUGACGGCUCCAGAGGGAGAGAUGAAGAGCUAUGUUCAGGACAUCUUAAGCUGAGCAGGAGUAGAGUGGAAAGGUUAAAGAGCACAACCUCCGGAGUCUGGCUGCCCAGGCCUCAAGUCCGGCCCUCUCACUCACUAGCUGCGCAGCAAUGACCAUGUUGCUCACUGGGACUCAGUGCUUAAAAUCUGUAAAAAGGGUUAAUGUUAGUCCCUAUCUCAUUGGGUAGUUGUAAGGAGUAAAAUCACAACAUGUGUAAAGCAGUUAGAAUAGGACAUGACAUAGAGAAAAUAUUCCACAAAUGUUAGCAACAAUUAUGCGUGGCAAACGCAGUAACUUUAUUAUCUUGCUAGUAAAAACAUGAGAGCCAAAUAGCAAGAAAGCGACUGAACCAACGAGAGGAAACUGAGUUCUCUCUUUGGCUCUCCCAUCAAAUUUGUGCAUCCCAGCAGGUACACCGCAUCCCUUCUGUACUUCACUUUCCUCAUCUGUACAACAAGCAAUAUACACGGACACCAAGGACACCUAGAGAGGCCUGAUGCAGAUUUUUGCUAAUACCAACAGCAGAUGAACAACUUAAGUUUCUGUAUCUUCUUAUCUGUAUUAGUCAGGGUUCUUCAAGAAACAGAACCAAGAGGAUGUGUGGGGAGAGGGGAGGAGAAUGAGGACGAGAUUCAUUUUAAGGAAUUGGCUCAGGCGCCUAUGAGAGUUGGCAAAUCCAAAAUCUGCAGGGCAGGCUGUGACGCAGGGAAGAGCUGAUGCUGUAGUCUCGAGCUAGAAGGCAAUCUGGAGGCGGAAUUCCUUCUUCCUUGGGGGACAUCAAUCUUUUCUCUUAAGGCCGUCAACUGAUUGGAUGAGGCCCACAUACAUUAUGGAGGAUAAUUUGCUUUACUCAAUGUCUACCGAUGUAAAUGUUAACCUCAUCUAAAAACACCUUCAUAGCGACAUCUAGACUGGUGUUUCACCAAAUAUCUGGGUACUGUGACCAAGCCAAGUUGACACAUAAAAUUAACCAUCACACUGGGGGCUGGCCCCGUGGCCGAGUGGUUAAGUUCGCGUGCUCCGCUGCAGGUGGACCAGCGUUUCGUUAGUUCGAAUCCUGGGCGCGGACAUGGCACUGCUCAUCAGACCACGCUGAGGCAGCAUCCCACAUGACACAACUAGAAGAACCCACAACGAAGAAUACACAACUAGGUACCAGGGGGCUUUGGGGAGAAAAAGGAAAAAAUAAAAUCUUUAAAAAAAAAUUAAAAAAAAAAUUUAACCAUCACACUAUCUUUUCAAAAGAGACGGUGCUCAGAGGUUUUUUGUUGCAAGAAAAGCCUCUGGACUACACAGCAACUUCAGUUUCUGAGAUCAGAUUAAGAGCAAGAAACUCAGAUGAUGCAUGCAUUUCUUUAGAGGUGAGUUCUAAGUCUAAAGAAAACCACUACAGCAGAUACAGAAGAAGCGGGCAUCUGAACAGUAGGAUGAGUCGGGAGAAUGCACUGCAGUCCACAGAAAGGACAAGACUUUAGAACAAGGGUUGCAAACUCAAUCCUAUAAAGGCCCUAUCUAAGACAAAUGAGUGACACAAACAGGGUGGGGGCCACACAGAGUGCGCAGUGUCCACCCCAUCUUAAAGAGCUGCUCCUCAGCUUCUUGCCGUGGAAGGCUCCGAGUCCAGUGUUCUUUCUGCAACAGCCCAAGGAUGCGCAUGGUUCAGUGGGAGGACCAUCGACCUCAAGUCAGGCAGAAGGGGCCCCACCUCCCAAUUCUAUCAUUUAUUGGAAGCAUGACCCAGAAUAAGUUACUUAAAACUCUCCAGGCCUCUGUUUCAUUUGUAGAAUGAGGUGGUCAUCACUUACACUCCAGAAUUAUUGUGUAUACUCAGGGAAAAGUGCCUAAAUUGUGACAGUUGAUACGUUUCCUUCUCGGCUUUCAUUAAUAAUCAUUUAUAAUAGCACUUACUAUGUGCAAGGUGCUGCUUUAUGACUCAUUUAAUCCUCACAACAACCCUAUGAGGCAGGUUCUCAUUGGACAAAUGAAGCACAGAAAGGGUAAAUAAUUUGACCAAGAACACACAGCGGAGAAUACUAGAAGACUGUCAAAAAAUAUAAAACAGUAAGACUCACAAUUAGAUGCUACAAAUAGAUUCACAUUCUUCAAGCUACACAAGCCUCUUUGUCUUUUCUUUCAACCCAAAAUUUGUUGCAAGUGUAGGUUAUACUUGCUGCCUGUGCUUACUGACUUCCACUCACUCCUAAAUUUCUUGCCUGCCCUUGUACCUCUAUCACGCCAAGGAACUGCCCUCUUAAAGGCACUAUGCCUCUGGGCUCACCAACCCGAAGGCCCUCUCAGGGCUCCUAUGCUCCUUGGCCUCGCUUCGGCAGGGCGCUGAUGAACACCUCCUUCUGCACUGACCUCCUCUGGCCCUCUAGGACGCUGAACUUUCCUGUUUUCCUCUUUGGAAACACCUCCCUGGUCUCCUCCCACCAUUACCACCUCUUAGAGGAUCAGUCAUUCUCUCCCUUGUUCUCUUGUUUCUCUUCUCUCUCGAACCCGGUGCACACAGUCUGUGGAAAUCAGAUUUUCAAUGCCCACCUCAGUGCCCAACCUCUAUACCUAACUUAACAGGUAGAAACCAACCUACACGCUGACCCUCUGCUCCAAGCCCUGCCAAUAACCUCUGUGACUUCAACCUCCACAUGAAAAACCCAUCCAGCACCAGGUCACUUAGUUCUUUAACCUCUUCAUCUCCCACAGCCAGCCUCUUCCCUCCACUUUACUCACCUACUCUCAUGACCUUGUUCUUUUAUCAUCAUUUGAACUGAUUCCCUUCUGAAACAAUAGAUCCUGAUGUCCUUCUCUCUGAUCAGAACCUCCCAUCCUUCAGCUCCCUUUACCAAUUACUUAAGAUACAAGUUAGUUACUUAGGAUAACCAAACCUAAUAAUCCUAAACCCCAAAUCUCACCCUCCCACUGUGUCCCCUAGGAAAGUACCAGCAGUAAGCCAGCUGUCCCAGGCAGAAACUUAGGUGUUAACUUUUAUUCUUCUCUCUCCCUCAUCUUCCUUAUCCAACAAAUCCCCAAAUUUCAACAUGUCUACCAUCUUCAGAUAUCAACCAGACUCUCUUCUCUAUCCAAAUCAUCAUCAGAUCUUACCCAGGAUUCCUACUCCUCUCUCCAAUGGUCUCCUAGUCAGUUUUCCUGCUUCUAGUUCUUGCUGCCUUAAAAUCUGUUCUCCAGCUGACAGAAUGGUCUUUCUAGGCCACGAGUCUGAUCACGUCACCCCAGUGCUUAAAAUUCACUAAUACUUCUAUGUCCUCAAGAAAAGACCAGAUUCCCUAGCACAGCUUCCGAGGCAUUUCUUGAUCUAGCUGCUGCCUACCUCUCCAGCCUUACCUCCUUGCAACUGUUCUCUUCAUUCCAGCCACACAUCAUUUCCAGUUCUUCAGAUCUACCGUGUUUCUCUCUUGCCUCUGGGUCUUAGUCCACUGUAGUUUCCCUGCCUAGAAUAUGCCCUUUCCUCACUUUUUGACUUGGCACUUGUUAUUUGAGUGUCAGGUUAAGUACUACAACUUCCUUGAGAGAUUUUCCCUGUUCCCAGACUUGGUAAUGUCCCCCUGGUAGGUGUUUCCAGAGCCAAUCUGUACUUCCCCCUGCAUUACACUCAACCCAGUAUGGACUCUCCCCUCACUAGCCUGUAGUUCUGUGAAGCAAGACUACAGCUCGCUUGUUCAUCACUAUGUUCUCAUGGCCAUGCAGUGCUGGUCCACAGUGACAGUCAAUGAGUAUCUGUUGAAUAAAUGAACAUGCAGUUGAUUCUUAAACUCCCAUCUCGGAUCCUCCUAACUUUGUCCUCAAGAUUCAGUUCCACAACUCCAGUCACCUGAUGGACAUCUUAUCAGCACCUAAACUGAGUAUGUACAAAAUGGACAGAGAUCAUCUUCUUUCUCGCAUCGACUCUCUUCCAAACCUAGUAGAGUAGAAAGAACAGAGGUGUGGGAGCAGAUGGCUGCAAUGCCCUGGUACAUACCCUAUCAGCUAUACAGCUGUAGACAAAUCUUUCCCUGAGCCUUAGUGUUCUCAUCUCUGAAAUAAGGACAAAAGUACCAACCUGACAGGAUUAGGAUAAAAUUGAAUGAGGUACUCUAUGUGAAAUGCCUGGCAAAUGGCACAGAAGUAAUAAAUGGCCCCUGAGUUCAAAAGUCUGGAGUUAUUUUUGCUCCUCAGCAGCCAACCCCCAUCAUGCAGGCAGUUCCUGCGUCCCCUCUCUUGACUCUAUCUAGUGUUCUCCAUUCCCAUUGCCCCCCUCAUGUGGGCCCUCUUCACCUCCUUCCUGGACUAUCAGAGUAGCUCUAACGGCUUCGCCAGCUCUGGUUUUCUCACUGCCCAAACCACCCCACCCACUGAUACCAGACUAGGCAUCUUACAGGACACACCCUAUCGUCACUCUCCCGACCAAAACUCUUCAGCUGCUCCCUAAUGACUCAGUAUAAAGUUUAAAUCAUUUAGUCAUACGACAUUCAGAGCCCUCCCGGACCUGGCCUCAACAGACCUUUGCUGCCUUAUCUUCUCAUUAGUCACUUUUACACACACUGUUGCCCAGCAACGACAAAUCAGUUACUGCCCGCUCCGUACACCGGUAUUUCCCAUCCCUCUCUACGCCUUUGUUCCUGCUUCCUUAACUCCAACACUCUCCCUCCAAGUCCUCAAGUCCAACACUGACUUUGGGUCAAUGUCCAGCUCAAAUGCUCCUUAGUCUUUGAUGCACUUCUCGAUCACCCCAGCCAUAGAUAAUCUCUCUUUUCUACAAACAUGUGGUGUGUUUAAUUUACAUAUCUCUCUACUUUUAUACACUUCUCUCUCUUCUGUUUACCCUAAUUUUAUCUGCACACAGAACUUAGCUCCAAGCUCUCUGAGGGCAGCAUCAUAUCCCGGCCCACACUGUCAUGCUCAAAAAAAAGCACGCAGGAAACGGAAGCUGACUGUAGAGAGCUACAGAGGAAGUCAGCCUUCAGGGUCUGCAAUCAAGCAGGUUAGCUUCUGAUCAGCUCCGAGAACAGUGCCUGGCGCAGAGCAACACUCCACACAUCACUGUUCAAUGAACUUCUCCACGAGGGCCAUCAGCUAUUGGCUAUAGGCUAGAAAGUCUGACCCCGUGGAAUAAAACACGAAAGAGAUGUGAAGAAGCCUUUUCUCUCCCAUUAUAUACUUGGAGAUGCAGGCAAGCUCCAAGUUCAUUACCUCCCACAGACUCUACAGCUAUUCUCAGCAAUAAAUAUGGCAUGUAAUGCUUUAGUACAUUAUGUCAAACUGCUCAAUUUUAACAUGUAAAUAAGAAUCAUUCUUCAAAUAGCCUCAUUUGGAGAAUACAGAGUUAUUCCAACAAUGUCCACAACCUUUUAAAGACUCACCUUUUAGAUAGCCACAACUUCUUUCCGUAAAAAAGGAAGAAGAAGAAAGAUAUCUAUUAUAGAAUGAACACCUUUUCUCCUAAGGCUUUCAACUGGCUGAGAAUUAAAGAAUUUCAGAAAUAAAUUCCCGUCUCCUCAUCCUUAAAAUAGAAGAGAUUUUUCAGGGCUUUCCUUUCCAAAAUUCUAUUACGUAAGCCACUUUACAAAUCAUACAUACAACAAUUCUCAUUUUUCCACCAAAUUUUAUUUUAGCCCCCCUUGGGCUCUAGCAACACCAUGUGUACCUUGUUACAGUACUUCUCAGGCUAUAAUGUUAUCUCUUUCUAUGUCAUUUAUCCCACUAAACUGCGUCUUCCUGGAGGGCCAGGUGCAUGAGGUGCUCCCUUUCGAACCUGCAGUACUUACUCCUGGAAUGCAGCAGGUGGCUCAGCAAAUGUUCGCAUGAAUCAAUGACUCAAACCAGUUAUUUGACCACAAACUGAUUCACCACACCUAACUCCUGCCUCCUUCCCACCCUCAAAGGUCAGAGAGUUUCCACCUCUAGGGAUAAUAAAAAAAGAUGGAAGGCUCUUAAGCCAAUGGCAAGCAGUUCUAAAUGUGUCCCUGGCAAAGAUGGCGUCACUGUCGUAGAAGUUUAAAUUCCUCCUAGCUAACACGGUACUUGAAGGUGGCAACAUUCACUUACAUGUCUGUGUGUCUUCUGCUAUGUGAGUUAAAAUAUUCAUCACAUUACUUCAGAGUCACACUCUGUAGAUGUGCCUCAUUUCACUCAUUUAUUUAGUCCCCCUGAAACAAACACUGAUGGGUAAAACUGAGUUAGUAUAAAUCACACUGUAAAAAGGAUAGUUAGCCGAGCAUCUUACGGAAUACCUAAAUUUGUUACAGAAAAAACCAAAAAGACCUGCCUGUUUGGCACUGGGUACCAUCAGUGAUUAGGAAGUGAUCCACUUUUCAGGUAUCAUCCAAUCAGACAGACCGACAUCAGCGUCUCCAGAACCUACACAUGGCUCGCUCGUCCCAGAUCCUACAGCAUAGGCACAGCUAUGUUGCCAAGAAAGCUCUUUACAAAGUGGAAGACAAAUCUGAGAAAAACUCUAAAUAAAACUACAGACAGGACUCUCAUAUUUGGGCUUUCCAAACAUAUUGUUAUGGCUUUAAGAAACACCACAUUUCCAUGUCACAAAGAGUUCUAAAAACCGGCAUCUUCUGGGAAGUCCAUACCUACUGCCUGGUGGACUAAACAGAGCGUUAAAGGACCCGAUUUUUUUAGAUGACUAUUGACACUUUGCUUAAGUACAUGAAAACUGAAAACAAAAUAACCAAAGAUUUUAGAAUUUUUCAGUUAUAAUAAAGGUUUUAUCAAAGACAAAAUAUUAUUUCAAAUUCUCUUUAAUACUUCUAAAAGUAGCACAUAUUUCUUGCAUUUAAAGAGGUGGAAACUGAGGACACAAAGCUGAAUCAUUUUGUUAAGUACUCUCCAUUUCAAAAGCAAUUAAGCCAUGACCCCAAACUCACUAAAUUCUCCCAUAACCUACUCUCAUGAGAAAGGGGCAAAAAGACUUAUUGCUUAACUGAAGGAUAAACAAUGUGAAUUAUUUCAAUGAGUGGUCCAAGAAGCUGCAGUAGGCCGCCGACUAACUUGGACAUCUGUUAAUAUCCUUGCCAUGACUUCCCUUGAGAUGAUGUGUAUAUAUCAUAAUUAACAGGUGUCCUUGAUUUGAGAAGAAUAAUAUUCCUGUACAUCCCCACUGGAUAGCUACAUGCUGCCAUCUUCUGAUUAUGCCCAGUGGAGCGUAAACAGGUUUUCAUGAAAAAGCAAAAUCAAUAAAAGUGAAACUCCCCACUUUUCCUGCCAGUAGUGCCCUCAGUAACAAAAAGGGCAAAGACAACAACACAGAGAUUACAAUACUCUCGGACAUAAUUCAAGCAGAAUUCUAAAUGGAUAAAUGCGUGUUAUAAACUUUUUUUUUGCAAGCGCCUUGCAUGCUUAUGUUACUAUUCAUUCUGAGAUAGACAGAUCAUCAAUGACCUUCUGGGUCACUGGCUAGGGAGAAAGCAGACUAUAAAAAAGACUGGGAGAAAAAUAAAGGGGGGGUUGCUUCCUUCCACCCCAGGCCCCCUACUGCCUUGAAUGAAAGAAGACAGACGGCAGCACCUUCCCCUUUAAUUAGGAGGGGCAGCUCAGAAGGGGACAGCCCUGCUCACUUGGCACCUUUAACAAACCGUUUCGAUGGUAAUGCUCUGUUCAUUCACACUUGUUUCAAACUAUUCUCAAUCUUUAAUUUACAAACUGAAUCUCUGUAAAUUUAAUUGUGAAAAUCUAUAGCUCUGAGCACAACACUAUACAUAAAAAAGUCCUUCCUGAUGUUUGCUGAAUUAAUAAUUCACAUACAUUCACAUAGGGAGCCUGGUAUGUUUCAAAUAAAAUACAGACACUCCAUAGUCCUAUUAUCACCACUUUUGAGAUAAAACAUGAAUUCCCAUGGCACAGAAGCCCUAACUUAAAUUCAUACAGUAGUCUAUACUAGAUUUAAAAAUAAGAUCCCUGAUCUUUUCAAUGCCACACGACAGUCACAGUGACUCCUUCUACCUUCGCAGUGUUACUGUUUAAGUUGAGAAAAGUCAAGAAGAUUUCACGGUAAAAACAAUUCAUUUUAUGAGGAAGGAUAAUUUAAUUAAUAGCAAAUCACAAACCACUCCGCAUUUCUAUUUGUUUUGCAUUUUCAAAACCACACAGCUCUGUAUUAAAGGUUUUAUCAAGGCAUGCAACAUCUCUGGAGACAAGAUCAGCAUAAAAAACAAACAGAAACGGAAGACAGGGGCCAAGUGUCAACAUUAGGCUGGUGUCACAAUGUUCUGCAGAGGUGAUAAAGCCUCUUAAUUAUUUUAUAAAAGCUAUUACGCACAUUUUCUAUAAAGCUAUAGAGACAGGAAACUUUCUAAUAUGAAGGAAAAGUUCAGUUUCUGUUGACAAGAUUAGGUCUUUAUGCAUUUCACCCCAUUUUUAUAUUAAAUCUGUUUUUUUCAACAUCAUUAAAUAAUUUGUAUUCUUCAGCUCCUUUCAAUUUCCCGACAAGAUUUUUAAAUUACAGCCUCUUAUCCAGGAGCCAUUCCCAUCUAGUUUCUGCAGGUCCCACAUGGGGACACUGUCCCCAUACUUGUCUUGUACAUGCACCCUCCUGCUCCCCAAUGGGAAUAAGGGCACUGCACUGGGGCUGUCUGGCUAUAGGCACUCCUGGCCACACCACAUAAAAAGCCUUGUCGGUGUCAUUGUUGUUUAAUUAAUGGCAAAGUUCGUGGUCCAUUUAAAAAAAAAAAAAGAACUUUCUGUUUUCUCAUUGAUAGUAAAUUUCAAUCUCUAUCUCUAACAAGCAAGCCAGCACGCCAGAUGUAGGAAGAGAGAUAGAAAAGAUAAAAGAAGCAAUUAGCUAUUUAACAAACUUCAUAUCCUCCUUUCCAAUGAAGGGGAAAAAAACUUGGCAUUUGCCAGAUAUUGAGUGUCUAAUAAUGUUAGCAAGAAAAAACAUGUAGGAGAGACUGACUAACAAAGAAACAAACAAAACUUACUUUGUUUUCCGGCACAGUAAGCAGGUCGGGAAUGAGAUGAGGGUAAUUCCUUCCUCAGGGCCCCUGCUUUCACUUUAAAAGCUGUGUUUAUGCUUACAUCCAGGUUUGCUGUGGAACUCCAAAAUGCCUGCACUUCUCCGGACGCCCCAAGUUCACAGCUCAUCUCGCAAGCACCGGGGACCAGGAAUUCCCAGGACAGACUGAGGCGACCUCUGGGCGCCACGUGGCACCACUGCUGUUGUUACCACACACACACACGCACCCGGGACACCCACUUGUUACCUCAGGAACCAGGCCACCAGCAGAUAACUGCUCAGAUGAGCGUCCAGAGACUCGAGCCUCUGGCAUUCUCAGGUUCAAGGUUGGAAAACGCAUUUAGACGAGAACCACGCAGUCAGCAGUAUUCUGCGCCAUUAACUUGCUCGUACUUAAAAUGCCUGUCUAAAUGAGAGCGAAAGGUACCAGAUUAGAAGGAACAGUUUACUGGUGACUGUGAUUGGCAUUUGCCGUGUACUGGGUCAUACUUUGUGCUCUCAAACAGCAUUUAAGAAUCCUAGAUCAGAAGUAUUUUCAUUUACUCUGUGAAAACUACAGAAAAUCAAUAAAAAAAUAACAUGGAAAAUGUACAAUUCUGCAAAAAAAAUGUAACCCUGACAAAAAUCUCAUCCGGUUAAUUUUUUAAAACUUAAUAAAUUUUUUUAAAAAAAAUACAAAUUUGAUGCUUGUUUUCAAAAAUUACUUCAUCCAUGUACUGUCCAGCUCAUAAAAACAAACCUUCUUCCAGCAAAAUGGGACACUUUGACCUUGUUUACUGCAGUGUUUUGAAACCGCUGCCUUGUAACUCCUGACAUCACUGGAUGUGUAUUAGCACCUUUACUGCUGUUGGCUGCACACGCCGCUACCCGGACGGUCUUCAGUCGCCCCGGCUGAACAAAUCCUCCACAGAACAGUAAGGAUAUCAGUGCGAGCAUUAAACCCACAGAACUCACGUGAUGCCUUUUCUAAGUGCCACACCGCUCUGAUCACUUUUACAAGAAAACAAAAGCAUCAAACAUCUGAUACUUUUUUAAUUCCCAGCCUCCAGACCUAGUACAGACCGUUCUUUCUUCUGACCCUGUCCCUGCCCAAGAGAAGGGCCUCCUUUCUCACCCAUCGCCAUAUUGGCAAGAAUUCCUGCCACAGAGCUUUACUAAUAGAAGAUUCCGACCUACUUUCUCCUAAUAAAAACUUCCCACGAUCUUUCCUAGAAGAUAAUUUAUAUUAGUACAUAUUAGAGUUUCAAAGAGUACUGCAUUUUUAAAUUUUGAUAAAGUCAGGUUUAUCCAUUUUUUUCUUUUGUGGAACCUGCUUUUGGUGUUGCAGCUGAGUGUCGCAUUUUUAAAGAAAUAAUAUUUUCUUGUAAGUCUGACACAUUUCCCUUCUGUGUUCCUCAAUUCUUUUUCUGGAUAGAGCAGAGUCGAAGCAAAGGAUAGCCGUAACUUCCGGACGCAAGUCACAAUUAAAUUUCGGGGAACAUCUCCCAUAACCCCCCCCCUCUUUAAAUAAAACUAAAUUCUGGUUCUACAAUGGUAGGGCAAUUUUACAGACAAGUAAUUAAAAACCCAGUUUAACCUACAUGAAAUCAAUUUAUAAUCUUCUUGUUCCUUUCCUGAAACAACUGACGGAACAAGUCCUUGAACUACAGCCGCCAAGAAAUAAAGAACAUGAAAUACACAUUUGAGCAAUUAUGGCCCCUGUUUGUCAGAGAGGAGUAAAAAGAAAAACAUCCAGAAUUAAUAAAAUUAAUUAACUCUAGCUAAAGAACUGCUAAAAAGACCCUUCAAAUAUCAUGCUGUUACUAUGACAACUUCAAAAUUGCUUUGAGGAAAAGUGAGGGAGUUUAAGAUCCAUGAGAAAGCAAGUGUCAUCCAGCCUGCUAGAAAUUACUUUCAUUUAUACCAGGCAGCAGAAAGCCUAAACGGCCAUUUACAAUUCUGAAGUUUCAAAUCGUUACCUUUGGAGAGAUGCUGUAUUCUUCAUUCACCUCAUGAAAAGAAUCAUAAGUAAAUGAACAGCUCUCUCAGCCAUCGGAACCAUUUUGAUUUCGGUCCUGCAACUCUACCACUCCCACGGCCUAUCUAGUUGGUACAUUAUUUUUAUAAUGAAAGCAAAGUCUGAUUCAAUUUGAAAGGGAAGGGACAAAAAAAAUCCCUAACGGUCUCUCGUUUGCAAACACAAACAGGCAAGCACACACUCACUCUUAUUUUUCAGGCAUCAAUAAUGAAACAGAAAAAGAAGACAGCAUUUUUCCUUUAAAAUUCCUGCUCUUAGGUAUUUAGACUGAUUUACAUUUUACGUAAUCUUGAUGGCUCAAUCAGGAAGUGAAAAUUUUAAGUGCGUGUGCUAUGGACGGGAGGAGUCAUGUGACCCAAAGGAAAGAAAAUUAUGCAGUAGGCUAGCCAACUAAGAAAAAUAAACUUAACAGGGGUUUAAAGAUACUGUCUUUGUGAUUCACCGAGCCAUGAAUAUGUUAUGGCUUUUGAGAAAUAAAAAUUCGUUUGGAAGCCUUGAAAAUAAGCCCUCAGGACGUUUUAAAAAAUAUUAUGAGAUCAAAGCGAUGCACAGCAAGAAAUGAAAGUUUAAUUAAUAAAGGAACUGUUUCUCCGAGAUCAUAUCCAUUCAAGGUUUAAAGGCUAUUUUUCAAAGCUAUUUGAAGAUCAGGCAAUACAUAAUUGUAAUCAAUAAAACAUCGGUUGCAGCUAUGUAUAAAUACUUAUACUUUAAUAUAUAGUGCUGUCUGUUCCUGGAGCAUCAAGAAGAACACUGUUUAGAUUUACCCAGACUCUACAUAAGUUCUACAGAUUUCAAGUGGUCAUUGUAUUUUACUACAGCAAAUAGAUUCUCAAGAGGAAAAUGUCAAUAUCAUAGGAAUUUUCAUCUGAGGUAUCUAAGCUUAUAAUAGGGUCCUCAUUAAAUAGUAUCUGAAUUAUCCUUGCGUGUUAUAUUAGUCGUGCCACAGAUAUCAGACCAUGUUCACUCACUCUGGAAAUCAAAAAGUAGGAGAUGAGGGGCUGGCCCUGUGGCUGAGUGGUUAAGUUUGUGCGCUCUGCUUCAACAGCCCAGGGUUUCGUGGGUUUGGAUCCUGGGCGUGGACCUAGCACUGCUCAUCAGGCCAUGCUGAGGUGGGGUCCCACAUAGCAGAGCCAGAGGCACUCAGAACUAGAAUAUACAACUGUGUUCUGGGGGGCUUUGGCGGGAAGGAAAAAAGAGGAAGCUUGGUGGCAGAUAUUAACUCAGGGCCAAUUUUUAGAAAAAAAAAAAGUCGGAGAUGAAUGUUAAAAAGACUUUAAUAAGUAUAAUGGAUUGACUGAUAAGAUGUCUUCAUUAUAUAAAAACUACUUAAAAAACAUUCUCUGUGCUACUUUUCUAAAAUAGAGUAUGUUAAUAAAACAUUUGAAAUUCAAAAGGUUUGGCCUGUGGGUGUUUUAUUUCUAAAUGCAAUUUCUGUAUUGAUAUGUCAAUAAAUAAUAAUUUAUUAAUACUAAUAAUAAACAAUUAAUAUGACUGAGAGCAGGUAUUUGUAUCUCACGGGUAAUACUUUUAUCCCUUUGAUGCUUCACGUUUUUCAAAAUGAUUUUCAUAUUUUUAUUUCAGCCUUUUGACAGGACAGGAAUAAGUUCGGGGUAUUUCUUGAUUACUAACAUCUUUCUUUAAUUCUUAAACAUGAGAGGUAGCUGGGCAGAAGGAGAAACUAUGGGGAAAAACAGAAGUCUUUCUGAAGGGAAGCUUGAGGUAGACUAAGAACAGUUAGGAAAGGCAAGAAGCAGAAAUUCUCCAAGGUCGAGUAUUAAAGGACACUGUGAUCAUCUUACUAAACUUGGGAUCAUACUGGUUGACUGAAUUAAAGAAGGAUGAACUAGUUACCAAGAAAUAUCUGCCAACAGAUUCACAGCACAACCGAGUUCUGCCGCUGGCCUAGACCAUAAUUUACUGAGAAUAAAUCUCAAAAGAGUAUCCAUCUCAACUCCCUAAUUCUAUAAAUUAGGAAAUUACAGAAGUUGAGACUUUGCCGUGUUACACAGAUUAGCUGACUGACAGCUGAAACCGGACUCAACAUUGCUGACUUUCCCAGGCUGGGGCAGGCGUACAUCUAUAACCUGAGUGCAAGUAAGUCUCCACUCAGCCAAUCCUUGGUUGCUUAUCUUAGCUGUGGACAAGCAAAUAAGGUCAAGACUCGGAGAGGCUCACUCUGGACCAUCUAGUCCCUAACUCAGAGGCCCUCUGACCCUCAUGGCUGCUGUCUCUGUGCCCCAGCAGCCUGUGCUGAGCAUCACACUUUCUGAGCUGGGAAGAGAGGGGGCAAGUUGGAGGCUGAGGGGUGAAGCUUCUGAGCUGGUACCAGUCCGCCUUCUCGGCUCCUCCCUUCCACAGGUAUAUCACAGUCUCCUCAAUUUUUCCAGUUGGAAAAUCGAGGCACUAAAAUAAGAAAAAUCAUGUGUUUUGGCUUGCAUCACAGCUUUACUGGGAUUUUGGACAAACAUGGGAACAAGAUAAUAUUCUAGAAAAAAUAAAAUCAGCUCCUACCUUACAAUCAUCACCAAAACUAAGUCUAUGGAGCUUAAAGAGUUAAAUGGAAAAGGGAAAAAAGAAAACAAUUAGAAGAAAAUAUUUCUGAAUUUGAGAUAAGAAAACAACUCUUACCUUUAUAAAAGCAAUGAAAAAAGUAACAAAAGGCAAGGUGCUCCAUAUCCAUCUGACUACAUUAAAACACAAGACCCCUGUGUGUCCCAAAGCAACAGACAAAGCUGAAAGAUAAACAAAAGACAAAAUGCUUGCAACAGGAUAAUACAGUUUAUAUUAUCUAUAAAUGUAAAAGAAAAAAAAUAUUAACAGACUAUUCACCUCAAAAUAUAAAAGGUCAAUUAACAAGAAAGUCUUGAAUUUCACUAGCAAACAUCAAGAUUUUUUUCACCAAUAAAAUUCACAAGGAUGGACAACAAAGAGAGUAAAGCCAGUGAAGUGAGGUGAGACAAUCAUUUCAGGAAAUCAGCAGUAGCUUUUUAUAAGCCUUAAAACUGUUCUGACUCAUAUCAUGUCUAUAAAUACCUCCUCAAGAAACAAUCACAGAUACUCAGGAAGAUAACUGUAUGAGGAUAACACUUACAAUAAUAAAAUUGGGAACAACUUAAAUAUCCAAAAGUGAAGGGGAGCAUGUGACUACAUAAACUAUAGUUAAUUCACAUGCUUCGAUAAUGGUUUUGGAGAAUACUUAAUGAUAUUGGAAAUCACAAAAUAUAAUGUUAGGUAGAAACGCUGGAUAUAAAAUUGCAUAUAAAUAUGAUAUCAAUGUUGCUAGGUGAGAAAGGAAGUUAGCAAGGAGAGAGGGAAGGAGGGACUGACAAAUGGUAGGGGUACAGAAGCCAAUCUCAGAAAGAGACUGGAAAAGAAUACAUUUAUAAAGCUUAAGGGGCAGACAGAGAAUUUAGAUUUUUCGGUACUUCUCUCCAAUAUUGAGAUAUUUGACAUUUUCUAUAAGAAACAUUAUUUUGAUAAUUGGAAAAAAUGUUAUUUAAGCUAAUGAACACUCUAUAAAUAUUUCUCAGUCAUAUAAACUAAUUAAAACAUUUACAAAGACUUUUUAAACAAGAGAAUGCUUAUACUUUACUAUUAAGUACAAAAAAGAAGUGCAAAACAAUAUGAUCUUAAACAUGUAAAAAAUUCACAUGAAAAAGUCCAGAAGAGGGGCUGGCCCUGUGGCCAAGUGGUUAAGUUCACGCGCUCUGUUUCAGUGGCCCCGGGUUUCACCAGUUUGGAUCCUGGGCGUGGACAUGGCAUCACUCAUCAGGCCAUGCUGAGGUGACACCCCACAUAGCGCAACCAGAGGGACCUACAACUAGAAUAUACAGCUAUGUACUGGGGGCUUUGGACAGAAGAAGAAGAAAAAGAAAAAAAAAAAGAAGAUUGGCAACAGAUGUUAGUUCAGGUGCCAAUCUCUAAAAAUAUAAAAUAAAAUAAAUUACGAAAAAAAGACCAGAAGACUAUACAUCAAGAUGUUAACAGUGGUUGCCUUUAGGUAGUGCUAUUGUGUGUCAUAUUUUUUUCUAUAUCUUACAAGUUUUCAAUGAUUGUCAUAUAUUGUUUUCAUGAGAAUAAAUGCAUAAAUAUCAAUAUCGUAAUUAUAGGACUGCUACAUUAAGAAGAUGGUACUAUUAACAGUUAAAUUUCAAAAUACAGAAGGUCAAUAGCCACAAAAAUAUGCCCUAUUACUAAGAGAUUUUUUUUUUUUUAAUUUAGGAACCACUGGUAUGCCUUCAGAAAACAGUAGAAGUUAAUGGGUGUGUAGGAGGUGAGAACAAAUCCUAUUUCUUAGUUGUCAAACUGUUUUCUCCAUGUGGCAGGUCUGUGAGGAUCAUACUGAAGCAUGAGGAUCUUGACCGCAGGACAUUAUUAGGAAAAUGGCAAAGAAGGUCAAUGGGGGAGAGGUAGUGAAUGGCCAAAAGAGGAAGACAGGAGUCCAUGAAAACAACAGAAGCAUCAAGAGAGAAGGUUCAAGAAAUCAUGAGAUCCGAAAUAUUUGCAAGAAGGGUCUUAAAGAGAUAUUUGUAUACCUAUAUUCAUAGCAGC
ensembl:lncRNA